rnacentral:lncRNA from 1 species
UGGAGGUUUAUUUGGAGCAAUCCGUCAAGCUUUUACUGGACUUGAUAGACACCGACUCGUUAUCCUUCCACUACACAGAGCGGGAGCUGUUUACUGCUCUAUGAAGCCAGCCUCGUGCGAUCCGCCCCACUUUAGGAAUCAAGAAGCCCAUACUUACAUUUGGGCCUCAUUAUCCAACACUGUGCUUGGAUAGGGCAGGCCAGAAAUAAGCCCAUCAAGCCCAACCAUUUGGUUAAGCCCAAUAUUCUACCACCUUAAUGCCGGGUUACAAGCCCACGUUACUAAGCUCGACGUGCAACAAAGUGUCAUAGAUUAUUAUAAAUUCAUUAACAUAUGGCGAUGUGGGAAAAAUUAUAAAUUCCAUGAGAGGCAAUAAAGAGAGUUAUAUUUAGUUUAAUGUUGCACCAUUUCUUACUUUAUUUUCAUUUUGUACGAAUUGUACGUUUCAUAUAAUUGCUUAUUUCUUGUAUUUUGCUUUCAUACUUAAAUUUUGUGAUGUUAUACUUGAGUUGAGGGCUUAUUGGAAAGAGGUUUUUUGUCCUCACUAAGUAAAGAUUAGAUUGCGUACACAUUAAUAUUAUCAAACUUCACUUGUGAAAUUACAUUGAGUGUGUCGUUGUUGUAUUUUAUCUUGUACGACAAUGGCAUGAGUUGAGUUUAAUGAAGUGACGAGAAUUCAUAUAGCCGAUCCCAACUUAUUUAAAAUUGAGGGACCAAAUUCCGUUAAUAUUUCCCAUGUUAAAUUCGUGUUUUGAAUCAUUUCUUGCUUCGUUGUAGAAAGAAGAAAACUUAUAUAUUUGUUUUGUGAUUUUGAGACAUAAGAAAACUUAUAUAUUUGUUUUGUGAUUUUGAGGCAUAAGAUCUAAUAAUAUUAACUUCUUUUAAAUGACAAUACUUUUGUUGUGCUUCAUGAUUUACAUCCCAACAACCUAUGUGGUUUGAAUGAGUCAUUUUCUUCGUUCUUAAUCAAAGAUCUCAAAUUUGAAUCACAUGUAUAAAGAAUUCAAAUUAUCAAUCUUUUUACAAGGAUUUCGUACUCAAUAUAUAUAUAUAUAUGUGUGUGUGUGUGCAUAAAAUAACGGAAUAAGUAAGAACUUACAAUAUAAUUUUCGAUUGCACUGAUGAAAAUAUUGUGUGAAAAUCCUGAUUAGGCUGUAUAAAGAAUUCAAAUUAUCAACCUUUUUACAAGGAUUUCGUAUUCAAUAUAUAUAUAUAUAUAUAUGCAUAAAAUAACGGAAUAAUUAAGAACUUACAAUAUAAUUUUCGAUUGCACUGAUGAAAAUAUUGUGUGAAAAUCCUGAUUAGGCUGUAUAAAGAAUUCAAAUUAUCAACCUUUUUACAAAGAUUUCGUACUCAAUAUAUAUGCAUAAAAUAACGGAAUACUUAAGAACUUACAAUAUAAUUUUCGAUUGCACUGAUGAAAAUAUUGUGUGAAAAUCCUAAUUAGGCAAAAAAAGAUUUCGUACUCAAUAUAUAUGCAUAAAAUAACGGAAUACUUAAAAACUUACAAUAUAAUUUUCGAUUGCACUGAUGAAAAUAUUGUGUGAAAAUCCUAAUUAGGCAAAAAAAAGGUGGUUGUUUAUUGGAGCAACCCAUUAGGCGUUACUGAACUUGAUAAGACACCGACCCAUUAUCCUUCCACUGCACAGAGCGGGAGCUGUUCACUGCUCUGUGAAGCCAGCCUCAUGCGGUCCGCCCCGCUUUAGGAAUCAAGAAGCCCAUAUUUUCAUUUGGGCCUCGUGAUCCUACUCUGUGCUUGGACAGGGCAGGCCAGAACUAAGCCCACCAAGCCCAACCUUCUGGUAAAGCCCAAUAUUCAACCACUUUGAUGUCUCCACUUGGAUUACAAGCCCACGUUACUAAGCUCAACAUACAACAUAAUAUUAUACAUUAUUAUAAAGGAGACAAAUUCAUUGUUAUAUGACGAUGUGGGAAAACUUGUUCAUUCUAUGAAAAGAACAAAUAUUGUAUGGUAUAACAAUUCAUAGAUACAUAACCAUUUAUACUUCUUUUUAAAUUCAUCAACGAUAAUUUCUCGCUUUUUUCCAUCGAGGUAAUUAUGCAUUUCUUCAUCUUUAUAAUUUGUAUCAAGUAUUUUUGUUUUUAAUCUUAUGUUUUUUUAGUAUGUUCGCACAUCUAUCUCAACACUCUUCUUUUCACUUUUCUCAUUCUUCGAAUAUAAGCUAAAGAGUUUUUAAUCGUUCAUUACGUUGUCCAAUACAACAUAAUCAAUCCCACUAUUACUCUAUUGAUCUUACUUUCUAAAGUUUCGAUAAGACAUUCUUACCAAAUUUAUUUUAUAAAUAGAAUUUGAUUUUUUUAUGUUAAAUUAUUUUGGGAAACGUACAUAAAUAUGGUAUAUUCAGAAAAUAUUUAUCAUUUAUAGAGAUAAUAUUUUUUUAUUACUUGAUCACUUUUAAUACAUUUAUUAUACUUAUUUAUUGCAUAAAUAAUUUAUCUUUCAUAUGUAUUACAGAUUUAACAUAACAUUCGUAUAAAUGAUGACAAAUAAAAAAUAUUACUAAAAUUAAUAAUUAUUUAUUAAAAGUAAUUUUUUAAAUUAUAAUUAUUUUUAUGGUAGUUUAAAUCCUUUUUACUAUAUCUCAAAACCCAAGGUAUACUCAAAAAUUAGCUGACAACAGUACAAUCUCCUUCAUCGGCGGCACAACCUGUUGCUUAUCUCCGAUCUACUCCGGCGAACGGCGAAAUUCGAGCUGUAAGUUCAAUACAUAUAUACAUAUAAUAAUAAAGUUUUCAUCUUUUUAUGUUUUAACAAACCCUAGUCCUUAAUUCUUUGUUCCAUGAUUUUUAAUGGUAGAACUAUCAAAUUGUGAAAGGUUUUUGUUCUUUUUUGUAAUGCUUUGGUGGGUGGUUAGGUGGUGGGUGGGUUGAAUCAGCUCUGGAAACUGUAUAAUUCAACAAUAACAAUAAUAUACCCAAAAGUGUAGUUCCACGAGCGGGGUCUGGAGAGGGUAGGAUGUAUGGAGACGUAUCAUCUACCUUUGUAGGGUAGAGAUUAUAAGGUCUGUUUCUGAUAGAUGCUCGACUCGAAAGAAGACUGUCUAAUUCAGUAUUUUGAAGUAAAACUGAAAAGCUCAAAUAAAGAGGCAAUGGUUCUGGGUCUUUAAUCCAGAAAUAAGCAGCAUAACAAACUAUUGUACGAAGCGAAGUGCACAAUUUGUAAUGCGAAAUUAUCUUAUGUGUAGGAUUGAGUACCUAUUUUAACAUUUUCACUGAUCAAUUGUAAAAUUGAUAUAUAUCCAUUUGUUGAUUGAUAAUCAAUAAAAAAAGUUAAUUUGUUGUCAUUAGUUUGGUAACUUUGGUUAUAAUGAACUUCAAUAGCUAGGGUCAUCUUUUUAUUUUCCAACAUCUGCCUGUAAAUAGGAACAAAACAGACGAAUACGCAAGAAAAAAGAAAUGUUGACAGGAAGAGUAUAAGAGAGAAGUGACGAGAAGUCAAUAUCGCAAGUAUCAACUUGAACACAGAAAUACAAAGAGUCAUUUGGAUGUUCCUUUUUGCUGUAAUUUGGAUGUAAUUGCAGCAACUUCAUGGUGCUGAUUUUUAACAUCUUUAACAGUUACCAUUAUAAAAAAAGAAGGAAAGAAGCAAAUUAAGAGAAUUCAAGAAACAUGAGUUGAAGAAAAUUGAAUGCAACUUAUAGAAGUGUAAGACAAGGAAAGAACAUUGAAAUGUAGCUUUAAGAGGACUAGUCCUAGUACCAAUAGCAUAAGAAUUGUAUUUGAUGGGAAGAGUAUGGAUUUCAUUUACUUUACAUUCGUUAUUGGCUGCAAAAUUGUGCAAUGUACUACUCUCUUUUGAGGAUAAUAAGUGGUCGCUUUUCUAACAUUUUUAUCAUAGAGAAGAUAAAAAUAAAAUUAGACCAUUAAAUGUGAAUGUGUAAAUUUCAAGUCAUGUAAAUUUCCUUAUACAUCCACUAUUAUGUGAGUAUUUUGUGAAUUGGGUGAGGUUUUAGCUUAUUUAAUGUGACAGGUUUUGAAGUUGUGCAAAUGUUAUUGUGAUUAAUGUUUAUCUUGUUGACCUUAUUAAAUUGAUGUAGUUUCUCUAGAUUUUGGGUUUAAGCGUUUUUUUUUUUGUGCUGAAACAAAGUCAGUGAAUUUCAUCUAAGAUAAAGCUAUGUCUUAAUCAGAUGGAGAAUCUAAACGGCUUAGUUCCUGACAUCCCUAUACAAGAGCAGAAAGACAAUGCUACUGCUUCUGAAAAUUUCGGUCGAAGUGUUGAUGAAAUGGUUGGGAAGGUUGAUCAGGUAACUUGGUGCUGAGGAAAAUUGUAUACUUGGUUGUGGUAUGCUAGUUGGCAUCCAAAUGGAUAGUAAAUCUGUUCAAACAUUCUUUGAGAUUGUCCUUUACUAUUGUACUUUACAUUGUUGUUUUUUCAUAUUAUCAUAUUGUUUGUCUACAUGAUCUUAACACGCUAUUUUUAGCUUAUUUGUAGCGUGUUAUCUCUGAUAAAUUAUUAAUAUAUAUUUAAUAAAAUAACUGUUAUUUCUAUGUUAUUAAAAUUUUGUAUAAUGUUAGCCUGAUCCAUAUAGCCGAACUUGUUGAUGUACAAGUUGUUGUUUUAGAUGAUACACAAUUAACAAUUCAGAAAAAUGAAACGCGAUUCAAAUUGUCCACUUGAUAGAAGUGUUCAUUCUGAUUGACAUUAUGGUUGCCUGUAGUAUGUACAAUUUUUUAUGUGCAAAAGCUGCAUUUCUUAUAGGAGAAAGUGUACGGCAAAGAGAUUAUUCAUUGCAUCUCUCGAGUUCCUUUUUACUUCAAGAAAAUUGAGAAAAAAGAACAUUCAGAACAUUCUUUUGAUAGUAUGCUCCACGCAAGAAGAUACACUUGGGUACUCACCAAGAUUCUUUGGCAAGAGCGUGCAAAAUGAAGAUAUAGGAUUUUUGCUUUAUAGUUUACUUUUUCUUGUUUCUAUUUUUUUUUCUUUCAAUCUUAGGCAGGAAAAGGCUGCUUGUUAAGCUAAAUUCUUUCAUAAGUGAUCACCUCAUAGCUUCACUCUUAAUUCUCUUUGACAAAUUAUUUCUGUUAAAAAGCUUUUGCCCAUAGUUCAUAAAAAAUACAGCAGAUGUUAUUUCUUUUGGCAUUGUUACUCUCAUCAAACUAUUUCUGUUUUACCAGCGCACAAACUGUAUAUUACCCAGAAUUUGCAAUAUAAAAGAUAUUAUCUCUCAGCAUCUAUGCGCUGAUAGCUCAUGUAUUUCUGCUUUCAUGAUUUGCUCUUAAAUAUAAUCUGGUCACAAGUUUGUUACAUCAACAGAUUGAGCAGAGACUGAAUGAGGUUGAGCAUUUCUAUUCCAAUACUAGUAAAAAACAAUCAAACACGCCAAGAGGUGGCUCUAUUCUGAAAGACAAAGAGAAACAGAUGUCUAGCUUUAGAAGGCGGCAGCAGGAUGCAUCACGUAGAGAAGCAGCUGGUUCCAGGAGAAUGCAAGAACUUAUGCGCCAAUUUGGUACUAUAUUACGUCAGGUAAUCUCAUUAUUUUUUCCGUGCCUUGACACCUUUUUGCCUGUCUAAAGCUUGUGUGCUACUAAAUUGUAACUGCUGUGAUCCUUCAAACUUCUAGCAAUAGAUGUAAUUAUUUUGUAACCUGAAGCAGUACUGCAAAGAACGCGAGAAAAGGUUUGAGUAAAUACUAAAUAGUGGUACAUGCUGAAUUUGCAGAACAGAAUUUUUUCUGAUAAACAUUGAAGCUUCUGAUAAGUGUUGAAGAGAUCUAAAUACGGUUAAGCUAGUAUUUUUUUAGUCAUUGUGAUUUCCUGUUACCUGUAAGAGUAUACAAAGUUUCGAAAUGCCUCAUGUCAGUUGCUCACUUUUUGGUACCGAUGAUGUUUUACUCUUUUUACUUUUUAUACGGAGGUACACGUACUUGUCCUGCUGUUGGUUAUACAUUCUCUUCCUGUCUCUCCUUUGCAAGUAAGCUUGCUGAUUUACCCAUUGAAAGAUGUAUUUUGUCUGAUCUUAGCCUUCAUCCUUCUCUGUCUUUGUAACUUUCUUUAGUUUAUUUCUUCUUACUAUAGGAAAUAAUGGUAAAAGAAAGAAGUGUAGGGCAUCUGAGCAAAUUAUGGUGAUGCACCUUGUUUAAGAUCGAAUGUAGAUUUGCUCCAGUUAAUUUAUUUAUACUCAUUACUUAGUGUAUUUGUCAGAUCACUCAGCACAAGUGGGCAGAACCUUUUAUGGAACCUGUGGAUGUCAAGGGUCUUGGAUUACACGAUUAUUUUGAGGUAAAAGCUUUGAAUUUUCUUGUUUGUGUACUUACUGUAUCUGUGAUGUUCUUAGGAAUCAUAUGCUCCUUUUAUUUCUGCUAAUACAUCAUGGGAUUUCUAGGUUAUUGAGAAGCCUAUGGACUUCAGUACUAUCAAAAACAAGAUGGAAGCAAAGGAUGGUUCUGGCUAUAAGCAUGUCCGAGAGAUAUGUGCUGACGUGAGGCUAAUAUUUAAGAAUGCGAUGAAAUACAACGAGGAAAGGGAUGACGUUCAUGUAAUGGCGAAAACCUUGUUGGGAAAAUUCGAGGAGAAAUGGUUGCAGCUUUUGCCCAAAGUUGAUGAAGAGGUAUGACUCAUAUCCAUGUAUUAUCUAUAGUAUUUUUCUUCAGCAUCUCAUAGAAAUUGCUAAGAUAAUUGAACCAUUUUCUUCUAGGCUAUUGAUAUAUGCUAAAUGAGAUUUUUUCAUCAAGAAUAUGCUUGUAUGAGAUUAAGAUAUUAAUCGGGUUUUCAAGUAAAUGAUUGAGAGAUUAAUAUGUAGAACUACUGCUCGUAGGAAAAACGGCGAAAGGAAGAGGAAGCAGAAGCCCAACAGGAUAUGCAGCUCGCUCAAGAGGCUGCUCAUGCAAAAAUGGCAAAAGAUUUAACUAUUGAGGUAGUUAAGGCUCAGAAUCCUUUACACGCAAACAUUAGUCAUAUUGGCCUAACUAUUUAUGGAUCUUCCUCUUCACGCAAUAAAUUUAACACCCUGUAGAUAAUAACUUAUAUUUAUCUUUUGAAUUCCAGCUUGAUGAGGUGGACAUGCAACUGGAAGAACUCAGGGACUUGGUGCUUCAGAAAUGCAGGUUAGAACUUUACAAACUACUCCUCAGUUAAGUUGUGCAUUGAUUAAUUUUAAAGUAGCUGAUUGCUUAUAAAUAUACCUUGUACUCUGGUCCUUCCUUUCAUUGAAUGGGUUACGAGAUAUUCUUUUGAUUGAAUCCAAAAUAUUACCUAAAAUGAUCCAUAAUUCUCUGUUUUGCCUGAAAGAUGACAGAUGUUUCUAUAGUACAACCCUUUUUCUCAUUGAACAUUUGAGUGUUUUAAAGAAAAUCUCCCUAGCAUAUGGUGCUAGUAAUUGGUGAAAACCCCAUGAACAUGAUUUUUUGUUGGCAAAAACUGUCAGACACUAGAAAUAAAUAGAACUAAUGCCUAUAGGUUGGCCCAUUUAUGAAGGAAGGUGGAGAAGAAAUGAAUUUUAGGAGUCUUUUGCCUGGAUAUAGGAGGGGAGCAGUUGUAAUGCCUGUUAAUUGGUUGUAAAUUGUAAUAUAUUAAGAACAGACAAUUCAAAUGGAAAAGGAAAAAUCUAUGCUAUGAUGACCUUUUUCCAAUAGUGAGGAGAUGGAUAAGCAUUGGCUGGGAAAUCAUAGUCAAUAGUGAUUGCUUGCUCAUGACACGGUUUCGACAAUGAAGCUUCUUUUGUUUUGCUUCCUGGCUCUGGUUGGCUUACUUAUGUGGAGGGUAAAAUUAGUAUGUUGGACAAACCCGUCAUUGUACAAGAUCCAGAUGCUAUAAUACUAGACACCGUAGAGAAUUUGCACUUGCUAUAAUACUAGACACAGGAGAGAAUUUGCACCAUCUGUAAUUACACCUGAUGCACUGGCUUAAUGGAAGUUCUUAUAAGACUUGUUAUUACUUGUUAAAAAAACUAUCUAAUAGCAGAAGGAGAAGUCCAUAUAAUCAGCGAAUUUAGAAUGAAAGGUGAAACGCUAACAUAGCAGGCAAACAGGAAAUGCUCCAAGUACAAUUUGGGCCAUUGAUAUGCUUACGUGAUACAUUAGUAUGUCACACUCAUGCUCCUGAUUUAACAAGGAGGCAUGGAAUGUGGCUAGCCUCUAUAACGACUCGCUUAGAUGUGUGUUGCCUAUGCGAGUUUUUAUGUGAUUCGACUUUAGGUUAACUGUAGUAUUUGUCGCUAAGUUUCUAAUAUAUAUUUCAGAAAGAUUUCAACGGAAGACAGGAAACAACUUGGGAAUGCGCUCACUAAGCUGUCUCCUGACGAUCUUAAUAAGGCACUAUUGAUUGUGGCACAGAAUGAUCCUACUUUCCAACCAACAGCAACAGAAGUGGAACUUGAUAUGAAUGCUCAGGUCAUCGAUCGUUUUAUCAUUUCAUAUUUGCAGCAUUUCUAGUUCUUAAUCUACUCUUGCUUUACAUGACACAAAGUAUUGACCUUUAUGCAGAGUGAGUCCACAUUAUGGAAGUUGAAAUUCUUCGUACAGGACGUGCUACAUACACAGGGAAAGAGCCCAGUGAGCGUCAAAACAAACAACAUCAAUACCAGUAAUCUCCUUAACAACAACAACAACAACAAACGUAGAAGAGAAUUUUACGAUGCACUCGCCAAAUCUUCCCAGAAAAAGAGUAAAAAGCCAUCCUGAUUUUACUUCUAAUCACUUCUGGAGGUGUAAAUGUUUUGAGUCGUUGAUGACACAAUAAUCGAUCUAUCUUCAUCGUUGUUAAUACCUCAAAAAGGACAGACAUAGCCAUUGUAGUAAGUAGGUUUUGUAUAGGAAAUUCCUUAUGGAUAUAUCUUUACUUGGCCUGCAAUUGCAGAUAUACAAGUUCUUGAAUGCUUCAUUUCUUUAUAAUAUAAAGUCUCAUCGACUAAAGUAGAAUUAGUGAGAUUCGAAUACACAAACACUUCCUCAUUCCAACGAGGUGAAAACCAUUGGGCUUUAACAGUUUGUUACGUUAAGGGUGUCCUGUUAUUUAAUCAUUUUACGUGUAUGUACGAAGCUGGACACCCUAACCUACACACUAUAAUAAAUAUUCGAAAGAAAUAGAGUUGAAGAAAAUAGUAAAACUAGAAUAUCAUUUUGUUUUGAAGACUCAAAGCACACCAUGAUAUUGAAUAAUAGGGGACAAAGAAGAUAACAAAGGGAAUAAUAUUGAUUAUUUUUUAAAACCAAAGUACAUAUUUUCAAAUUCCUAGUACUAGAACAAGCAAAAAAGCUCCACAAAAUAAUAUGCAAAAAUAGUAAAUAAGAAUUCUAUAAUUAAUAUCUUUUUGGGAUCCAUUUUUUUUUUUUUUGGGGAAAAGACACGAAUAAAUCUUAUAAUUUUUUUUGUCACCGACUUUUAAGAUAGUGAUUGUUUUUUCUUAAUAUGCUAAUUCAACUUUUGAAUAAUUAAAUACCACAAAAAAUAAAAUUGACCAACUGGUGUUCGCCUGUUCGGUAGGAUGGAAAAUAAUUAUUUUUUAAAAAAUAAAUAUUGUCAAGAAAAUAAAUAAGUUAUUUAUUUGUGUUCAUACGUCACCAAAAAAAUAUUGUUAUGGAAGGUGGGGUUAGAGGUAGGAUCGUAGGGAUAAAAAUGAGGUGUGUUGAAUUUUACUAAAAUUAUUAUAAAUAUCAUUUAUAAAACUUAUUUUUCUUACUAUUAGAUAAGUUAUUUUUGUAAUUUUAAAAAUGAUUCAUGUAAAGUGUGAUAAAUAUUUAUUUAUCUCAUUCAUUUUACAUGAUGAUAUUUAAUUUUUUUUAAAAAAGUUAAAAAUAAGACUGACUUGUCACAUAUAAGCCAAAAUUCUGUGAAUUUAAGUAUAUAAUUAUAUGAAAAUAUUAAUGUUAAAAUUUUUCUAAGUUUGGCAAGUUUUUGUCUUCAAUUGCUUUCAAUAAAUAAAAAUAAAAAAUGAAGAAAAAUGAUUUAUGGUCACUAAAAGUUACGUAGGAAUUAAUAUUUUAAAAUUUUGACAUUAAGUCUAUCGAUCUGUUAAAAUACCUCAAUUAAAUAUGUUAUUAAUAUUAUCGAUCUGUUAGAAUACCUAAAUUGAAUAAUAAAUAUUUUAUUAUAUCGCGAUUUUUUUUAAAAAAAUAUCAAAAUAAUUUAUCUAGACUAUGCUAUUGAAGACCAAAAAAUAAUUGGAAUAAUCUAGUUUUUUAAAAACCUUUUGGGUUUUAUUAAUUAUCAGAGUAUGUCUUUUCAACCAAACAAAUUUAAUUUAAUUAUGAUUUUUCGUUUUUUUUAGAAAAAAAUGUUUUGAAAACUUUUAUUAAUAAUCAACGGGUCCUACCUUUUUAUUGUAUGGUCCAAAUUAUUGGAUGUGCAAUAUUAACACAAGUCACUUUCAAAUAUGUGAAGCAUGGCUAACACAUAAUAAUUUCUUUAAAAAAUUACGUGACUGAGCUAUCGUAAAUAGUAAGCAAAUGUUCUUCAUCAUAGUUGAGGCGUUGGUGCUCUUGACGUCCAAAAACUAGAGCAUAUAUGUUAUUCACUCUAGCGCGAGACUAAAUAUAGACACAUGAACCAAUUUGAUUCAUCGAUUCGAUUUUUAAUAAAAGGGUUGGUGGAUAAGAUUAUGACAUGUGUAUAUUCAUUAGUAUAAAUGGUAUAUGUACUCUAGUUUUUGGACAAUAGGGGCAUUAAUAUCACAAAAGUAUGAUAGAGGGUAUCUGUAUAUUAUUUAUGAUAGUUUGGGGGUAUAUUAGUCAUUUUCCCUAAUCAUUUAUAGUGUGUUUGGUUGUGAGUUCGAAGCCAAAAUUGCGACUUUUUAUGAAAAAAGUAUAAAUACGAAUAAUUCUUUUGAAAAACAAUCGAAAAAAUAUUUUUUCGAAACACCGCUAUAUUUGCUAGUAUAUGUUGCUAUCGAUUUUUAUUAAAUAUAUUUUUUGGUGAAGAUUACACACGACUUUAACUCUGUAAUCAAAUUUAUAUAAAACACAUUUCUAAAAUAUAUAUUUUAUUAUUUACCAAACACACAUAAAAUGUGUAUAAUAUGAAUCCUAUCUAUAUACGGCAUCGUAAUAUUUUAAUUUUAUUUUCUUGUUCCAUUAGGUCUUUUUUAUUUUUAUUGAAAUUAAAACGUUUGACUUUAAAUAUAUAUAUAUUAAAUAUUAAAAUAUGUAUCAAAAUUUAUAUAACUAAAUCUAAAAUCUAAAUAAUUAAGAUUAAAAUAUCCAAUAAGUACAAAUAAAUAAAGCUUUAAAUAUUAAAUAUUUCGAUUAAUAUCUUAUUGGUUACUAGUUUUGCUCUUCCGUCUUCAAUUCACAUUAUUGUCUUAAUUUUUUUUAUUUAUAUUGCACUUGAAUAAUUUAUUUUAAUGUUAUUUUACUAUUGUUUCUAUUUUAUUAGCAUUCUGUAAAGUUAUAUUAUUGUUAUGUUACGUCAAAUUAUCGGAGAAGUUAUAUGAUUAUUUUAUAAGCAUUUUCACGUAGGUUAAUUCGAAAAUAAAAAAUCAAUAAAACAAUCGAAUAAAAAUAAAAAUCUCAUAUUAAUUUAGCGUAUUUUAAAAAUUAAAAAUUGAUAAACCGAACCGACCAAUAUCGUCCUAGAAAAACGUGACUUCCUCACUUUUAUUGGUGGCAAUCGCUUUCCUUCGCAAUCUAACAUUUAAAUCUUAUAAUCAACUUUUAAUAUAUAUAUAUAUAUAUAUUCUAACACAAUUAUAAACAUUGUUUUCUUAAAAAUUAACUUUGAUAAUAACAAUUGACGAGGAAUAACUAUAACUAUAAGUUCUGUGUAAAUUUUAAUGAACAAGGUUAUUUGAUAUUUUUAUAGUUAACUUUUUUUUCUGUGUAAAAUUAGUUGAAGUGUAUAAAAAUUAAUCAGAAUAUAUGGUCAUGUGGUCUUCCACCACCUAUGAUCGAUUAAUAUUCUUUCUGUCCACUUUUAAUUUUUAUAUUGCAUUUUUUGAAAAUUAAUUUGAUUAAUUUUUAAAAUUGAAUUAGAUUAGAUUAUUCGAUAGUUUAAAUAAAAAAAAUUAUAUAUUCAAAAAUUAUACGAAAAAAUACUAUAAAUUUCAAAAAAAAUUGCAUAUCUGUAACAUAAUUAUAGUUUGGAAUUUAGGAUAAUUGCCUACCUUGCAUAUGCUCUCAAAAAAAAAAAAAAAAAAAAUUGGCGUUACGUUAGCUCACAAUUUGUAAACGUAGGAAGUUAGAUAGAGUAGGAUGGACCACAAUUAAUUUCCUUUUAAUAAAAAGAAAAAAGUGUCUGAAAAAUAUUUUAAUUUUAAUCGAAAUUGUUGCGAUAUCAAAUUUUCUGGCGAAUAUUUUACCUCUUGCACUAUUUAAUAGUGUACUUUAAAGUUAUAUAUGUGUCUACUGGACACAUUAUUUAUAAUGAUGCAAUGUUUAUAAUGUCCACAUGGACACAUAUACACAUUUAAAAAUGCUCUAUUAAAUAAUAUAAAGAGAUAAAAGGUUCUUUCUCGUAACAACAAUUUUCGUCAAAAGUUUGAAUAUAUUUCAAACCAUUUUCCCUUUAAUUAAUUUAAGUUUGAAUUGAAAUUUGACUUGAUUCUACCUAAAUAAAUAGGCUUAACAUAUUGGUUGUCCUUUAAAUUUAUCAAUAUUUUUUUUAGAUAUUAAACUGUGAUUUGUUCUGAUUAAGCAUUUAAAUAUAUAUAAUAAAGUGUCUUAAUUAUAUAUUUGUAGUCAAAUUUCAGGGGGAAAAAUAUGUACAUGUGUUCGUAGAUUUUCAUUAUAUAACGAGUUAAUUAUUAAAAUAUGUUAUCUCAUUUAACUAUACGAAUUAACUUUAAUAAGCGGUAGAAUCUCCAUCUGAGGAUGAUGCAUACAAUUAAAUAUUUCACCUCCUUUAAUUAUUUAAAUUUUGAGCAUGACAAUAUGACAUAAUUUAUAGGUUACAAUAAUGUCAUAAUAAUUUGAUUUUGGUUUGACUUUUUUAAUAGUUAAAAUUAAAGCAACCUCAAAAAUUUGAGGGUUUUUUUAGAUAUAUUGAAUUAAAUAAUAAUUAAAUUUUGUUUUUUUUUAUUUGACUUGGAUUAUCGAUCUGAUGUAAUUUAUCGAUUUUCUCUAUACUUAAUCAAUGAUAGAAAUAAAAUCUUUCUAUUAUCUAAGCUUCUUAUAUUUUUAUUUAUCAAAUUACAUUGAGUAUAUUAUCAUCGUGAGACUAUCACCAAAAUGUGAAUAUUUAUAAGAGUGCAAUUAUGACUUGGCUCAUCCAAUUUUGAAUUUGUAAUAAGUGUAUUUUGAAUGCAUGGAAACUUGUGGGGUAAUAAUAUAAUAAUUUCUACAAAUAUUUUUGUCAGUUUUCAAUCUCUACGUGCCAAUAUUUUUCUUAGACUCUAACGUUAUUUUCAUGCCUAAAUAAUUAUUCAUAUGUAUUUCUUGUAAAUAGUGAUGUUACGGAUCAAUAACGGAUUCGAUUGAAUUCAGUAUUAAUGUAUAUUAUUAAUUUUUUAAUUUUAACUUUGUCUCUAAAUAUGAUAAGAGAAUAAUUCCGUUCAAAGAAUCAACAUAAUAUUUUUAAUUUUUAAGAUUCAAACUCGAAAUCUGUGAUCAAGAGUAUAAAGAAAUCUUUUCCAUACGACCAAUCUUUGUAAUAUAUUUUAAUUUAUUGUCUUAAUUAUAGGAAAUAUUGAAGCUUUGCUUAUUGAGAGAAAAAAAAAUGGUUUCUUUACUUAUCUUGUUUUGUUUUUGGUCAGAAAUACGACCAAAAUAUAAUAUAUUGCAUACUGACUAAAACUUAAAAUAUAAACAAGAUAAUUAAUAUUACAAGUAAAAAGUUUUUCUCCUUCAAGAAUUGAUUAUUUCUGGAAGAUUAAUACAAGAAUAUAGUCAAACUUUAAUUAAACCAACUAUAUGUUUCAAAAACAACAUAAAGCAAUUGGGACAAAUUAAAGAAACACGUAACGUGACCAACAAUUGGGACCAAAAGGGCCAUACUUAACGUCGAUAUAAUUAUUUCUUUCUUAAUUAGAUAUUUCGAAAUCAAAGUCAUUGCGAGAGAAUGUCCUCCCAAAAUGAGUUAUACGCAAUAUAAAUUUAGUUAUAAUACUGCAAUAUAAACAUUAAAUAUCGAGUGAGAAUCAAAACAACAUAAAAAUUGGACCAAACGGGGUGGAGUUUUUUUUCUUUCAUAUUUAUUCUUUUUUCUCUUUUGAUCAAUAAGUUGUCAUCUUCCUGUCUAGCUUUAUAGUUUUUUUGUUUUUUUUUUUGUUUCUCAUUCAGUCAGUGUGUGUACUCCGACUAAAUUCGCAUUGCGUCCGGCAACAUUCACUGUGCGUAGGGCUCCCAAUAGAAUUUUCUCCAUACUCAAGACUCGAACUCGAGACUUCCGAUUAAGGGUGGUAUCUAGAGCUUUAUAGUUGGUUUGUCGUUUUCCAUGGUACGAAUUGUAGUAUUCUCUCUCUGAUGUAAUAAUGUAUUCGAUGCGCAUUUCUUUAGCUUUUUCUUUAAAAAUAAAAUGUUUCAUUUUUUAAAUUUAAAAUAAUUUAAAUUUGAUUUUAUCAUUUCUUCUUUAAUAAUAUGAUUUAUAUAGUCACCGCCACCUAAUUAAAUUGAGACAAUUGAAUUAUCUAUAUCGCUACUCCCUCCAUUCUAAUAUAUUCAUGUGAUAUAAAACUUUCGAAAUGUGUAAAUACAAAAACUUCUCAUCAAAUGUAUAUUUCGAGUCAAUAAAAUAUUAAUUAUUUUAAAUACGAAAAAUAUGUCACAUACGUAAGUUGAAAUAAAAAUUAUAAAUAUUUAUAUAAAUGGUCAUGACCAACGACGUAGUCACAUAAUUAACUGAUUAAAGGAUAAUCAAUUGAAUAAUCUUUAUCUAAAAAUAAUAUAUUCUCAAAUAUUCUUAAUAAAUCUAGGUUAGCUAUUGGUGAUGACUACUUUUUUACUUUUUAGGUACAAGAAAUUCAUUAAUAAUUAUCAUAACUUUAAACUGUAUCCAAUUAAUACCCAUUUCCCCAUGAACUAAUCAACGGAUAUAUUGAUCAUCAACAAUACAGUACAAUUAAUUAAACAUAGAAUUUCACAUCCUACCAAUCAUCUUACAAAAUAUAGCUAAAAUGUAAACAAUUCUCAUUUAUUACUAAAAAAAAUUUAUAUCUCGAGAGUUAAAUUUGAGACUUUUAAUUAAUGAAAUAGAGUUAUCAAUUUAUUUUUUUAAGAAAACAAUGACCGAUCAAUUUGAGCGCAUCUUAAUUAUUAUAAAACAUAGGUAGCCAAUAUGUUAAUAUAUCUUUGAGUUAUUUUACUCACACAAGUAAUGUCCAGCCCUCUUUUGCUGUUGUUAUUAGUACUUGACUCUAUCGGUUCGACGAUUUGCGAAGACCUACUCUUACUCAGUACACGUAAUUGAAAUAAGAUCGAUUGACUUGAAUUCUACUUCUCUUUAGUAGCUCGAGUUACACAUUCAAGAGAGGAUGAGUAGUGAGUUGAUGUAUGUUUCCAUUCUUUGGGGGCUUUGCGACUAGCCAUCUCGAUUAUUUUCAUAAUUGAAAAGGGGAAAGAAAUCUAAAUCAAUGAAUAUUAACGAACCAUUACUAAUGGACAUCGCAUAUAACACAAUCAGUUCGAUAUAAGCUCUGAUUCUAACAGAAAUUGCUUACUUUCCUACUACCAAAGCAAAGCGCAUCUUUGUUUUUUUUUCAUAUUAACUAGCAUGAAUAUUAAAUAUCUUCCAUCUCUAUAUUCUAAAUUGAGAUAUGAAAAUAAAUCAUUAAUAUCUCAUCUCACAACCACCACCGCCACCACCCCACCCCAGCUCACCUUAACACAUUGAUUGCCUCAACCUAUCGAUUGACUGAGUUGGAGAAGAAAGUAGAAGGUUACGACUCUAUAAGUUUCGUGUAUCCAGACUAAUACUAAUCCAAGUCAUUUCAUGAAUAAAAUGUGACCAAUUAACCAACCAAAAAAAUCACUUGUUACAAAAAAAGACCUUAUUGUUGCAUCGAAAGAGAUAAAUGUUAACUAAUCUAGCUAACAUUAAACUUGAUAAAAUCAAAUAAUUGAAUAAUUGAAAAAUUGAGAUUAUUCAGGAAUACACACACUCUAGUCACUAGCCCUGUCUUCGGCAUUCCCUCCUGGUUGUUAAGAUAAAGACUUCAAACAUGGCCAACCCGAUAGUAUACGCAAGGUCCGGAAACAAAUACACAAUCAUAUAAUUUGAUCGACGAUUACUAGCAAUUCUAACUUCACACAACCCGCAAUCCAUACUAAGGACGGAUUUUUGAGAUUAGCUCGCGAGACACGAUAUCCAAAGCACCCACCCAAGACACACAUUUACACGUCCAUGCAAAUAUGUUUUUUUUUUUUUGCAUGCACAUAUGCGAUGAUCGAUACAUGAAUAUAGUGGUAUAUAUAUACACAUAUAUCCCAAAAUCAUGAAAAUAUCAUGACAAAUUAAUAAAUAUAUCAAAAAAUAAAACAUAAGAAAAAUAAACAAGAUAGUAGUAAUAUAUAUAUGAAAGCUGGCUGUCUAUAGUCAGCACAUAACAUUCAUGAGUCAUCUAAUAACAACAACACAAAAUUCAAAUAAUAAUCAAAAACAACAAUAUAACAAUAAUAAAAAACCGUAUCAUUUUUUUCUGUUCCGUUCCGAUACGUCUCGUCUCAAGCCUCCGCCUUUUUUUUUUUCUUAAUUUUUAAAAUGUCACAUCUGAAUCCACUGUCCCAGCUGCGUCGGAUUGACAAUACCAGGAAUGUGGGUCCCAUCACUCCUCAACAAGCUAGAUAUCUCAACAUAAUUCUGGCUCGGCUUCGGCUCAUCCGGGCUCGACUUUCUCUUCUUCGGGUCGGCUACAGGAGUAGCAGCAGCAUUAGCUCUAGGUCGAGCCGGGUCAAAUUUCUGACCCAAUAAAGUACCUUUAGUUAAAUACUCAUAAGCCAUAUACCCGGCUAAAACUGAAUUAGGCAUUUGAUGAGGAGGAUGACCCUUUUUUUUGGGGUCGGGUUUAGGAAACGACGUCGUAAGGUUAGCAUUACUAACGGACGUUAGUGGAUUUGACGGUCUUGGAGACGAAUAAAACGUGUCUCGGUCUUUUCGCUUCCGUGAUGACUCGUCAAGAGUUAAGAUUCGCCGUGAGUGAUAAUUCAUCCUAGCCGUCCAAUCUUAAUCUACAGCAUGCCACGUCACCGCACUUUUAAAAUAAAAUAAAAAAGCGAUAAAAAAGGAAGAAAAAAAAAGUGAAGUUACGGUUAAGGAAUUAUGGGGUUUGGAAAGAUAAAAACAAAUAAAGCAAAAGGUUAGAAAAGUAAAUUCACUCUAACAGGUACAUUUCUCGUUGAGAAAAUUAAAAAUAUAAAUAUAAAAAGUAGAAUAUAUAAUUUUUUUUUCAAUUAAAAAUACAGUAAAAAAAAGAGAUUAAAAUUGAAAGAGAAAUUACUGGAGAAGAAGAAAAGAAAGAGGGUAGUGAGUUUGACGGUAAGUCGACGAAAGAUCUAGACAAAGAUCGCCGGAUUCCGGCGAGAAACGGUGGAUUCCGGUGUACGGACGGUGGUUUUAGCGGUGGCUCCGCCGUAGAAGAGGAAGAAUUAUUACCGGAGAGAAAUAGAGAGAGAGAAGAGAGAGAGAGUUUGGGGAAUGGAAAGAUUUAUAUAAGAAGAAAAAAGAAUGACAAGGGCAACAAGUGUGUAUAUAUACACCUAAUAACUGAAAUUACCCUUGGUUUGUGAAUUAAUAACUAAAAUGCCAUUGGGUUUAAUGGAUUGAAAUGGAUAAUGAAAUUUGCUUGAAAUGACAUUAAAGUCCUUGCGUUUAUGUCGCUAAAAGGGUGUUUUGGGAAUGGAAAGAUAAUGGGUAUAUUUGGAAUAAUGAUUCUAAUUAAGGGGUAUGGUAUUUUUGUAAUAUAAUUUUGAGUUGAGGGUAAUUUAUAUUAGGUGAAAUAAAAUUUAGAGCCAGCGGUGCUAGCUCCGUGUCUUUAGCAUUGCUCUUUAGAGGUCCCCAUUAUGGUACCUCUUUGUAUUUUUGUAAAGCUAAUGGGGCUAAAAUACAAAUAAAUAAAACUUUGGGGACUAUUGUUGUAUUAUUAAAAGAAAAAAACUACUAUACUUUAUUAGAGGUCCAAGUCAAUUAAUAUACUAUGAGGAAAAUCUUAAUACAUAAAUACUUAUAAAUACAAAAAGUAAUCUGGUUAUCGAAGUGAAGUUUGGAAAGGAUACGAUUAUAUAAUUAUGAAAUAAGUAUUUUAAUUUCUCAAAUCGAAAUUUAUGUGAGAUUCUAAAAUAACAAUUAUUUUUUAUGUAAAUAUUAACCGUAUAUAAUUUAUGUAUAAUUACUUUACAAUAUGGUGUAUUUGGAAGAUAAAUGGAUUAUUGAAUAUGUCUAAGAAAAGGGAGAAAUGGGUGGAAUAAAAAGAUCUAAGAAAUUAUGAAUUUGUUAUUUUAUAAUGAUUGUAAUUAGUGACCAAACGAUUACAAUAAUCUUUUGUCAAAUAAUUGUUGUCUUGGUGUGAUGGAUUUAAUUAGUACGAGGAAAUAAUUUUCUAUAAUUUGAAUAAAUUAUAAAAUAAAAUAAAAAGUUACAAAAAAAUUCUACACUUUAUUUAUGUUCUAUAAAUCUCAUAGGAAAAGAGUCAUAAUUAAAACAACCUUUAUAAUGAAUGCAUCAUGACCUAAUCUCAAAUAGGUAUAAAGUUUAAAUCUCAAUCAAAUAAUUACUUCUUUUAAAAAUUAAUUUUCUAUAUUUAUUUCGUUGUUUAUUUUAAAUUUUCUUUUUGGUAGAGUGGAGUAGAAUAUCGAAAUAGACAAAUUUUUUAUAGGUAAGCACUUCGCUUUCCAGAUGAUUAAACUCGAGGGGGGGGAGUCUCGAGGAUAGACAAUUCUUCAUAGGUAACGUUUUCAAAAUUAUUAAAUCGAUAAAAGAGAAAAUAAUUUUUAAAAUUUUUUUAAUUGUUUAAAUAAAUAAAAGAAUAAAGUACUUAUUCGUUAUGCUAUUUAGGAUUUAAGAGAAUAUGAAGCAAUCCUUUUAUUAGUCAAACAAUUGUCAAUUAAGUUACUUAUUUGGUGUGCUAAAAAAACCUAAACAAAAAAAGGAAUAAAAUAAACAAACCAUCAAUAAAAAAGAACAAUUAAAAAAUUUUAGUAAGAGACUUAGGGUUCCAUAAGAAAAUAAUAAUCUACUAAAGUUAGUGGGGUAAUAUUUCACGUGAUUUUAAAAAAUAAAAAUAAAAAAAGCCAUGUGACCCAAAUUAAAAAACUAUUCCCUUUAAUUAAAAGAUUAAAUUUAAUUAAUAAUUUAGAAAAAAUCUAAUUUAAGUCAGCACUAUUGAAUUCUGUUGAAUCUGUAUCUAUCUUUAAUUCAAUUUAGUCCAUCUGUAUUAGCAAAAAAAAUUCGUCUAAUAAUAAUGUGAUUUAAAUUAUAUCAUUUUAACUUGAAUUGUUUCUUUUCAUACUAUAUUUAUCUCGCUAAAUAUAAUUCUAAAUUUUGUUAAAAGUAAAAUCUUUGUUAUUGAUAAGAAACAUGAACUUUGACAACAUUUUUCAUGUGAUUGAUUUCUAGUUCUUAUUAUAAUUCUUUGAAAGAUAUGGAAUUUUUAUUUAUUUACUUCCCUUUUCUAUUUUUCAUUUCCUUUAAUUUUCCAAGUUUUCAAUUAAAAUUAAAUCAACCCUAAAAAGACAAAAAUAAAUAGGGAUGUCAAUCACAUGAGAUGAGGUCCUAAAAUGUUGGUUUCUUGAAGGUGGGGGCCAUUUGAUUGGAACAUUUUCAUAAUAAACAUUUAUAAAAAUGAGGAUUUUUUACGUAUAAUUUACAUGAUAAAAUUUUAGAUCAAACAUGAUAAUAGGAGGUAAAAUAAUUAAAUGUUAUUAAGAUUGAAUGGAAUACCUAAAUUGUAGACAAGUAGAUAAACGGGAUAUUCUUAUCUUGUUGUGACGGCGUUGAUGAGUUGUCAGCCUCGCUCAGUUUUGUUGUGACGGCGUCAAAGAGUCAAUAAGUAUCUUAUAUAGGAGUUAGAGUAGAGUACCUAAUUGCAAAUGAUAAAACCUAACGGGCCUUCUCAUUGCGGGCUUUAUUAACUAAUUUACAAUAUCAUCUCACUAAACUUAUUAGGCUCGUUAAGUAUAUGACUUAAUCUUCAAUUAUCUUAUUAUAGUUGAAAUAACAUUUUUUAUUUGCUAUACAACUCAAAAUAGUUAAAAAUAUGGAUUUUCUCAACAAAUAUUUGUCAUUUUUAGAUUGGAUAAGAAAACUUUACACGUGUAGUGAUUUGUAGUUGUUGCUAUAACUUCAAUGCAUAGUAAUUGCAUUUAUGUUUCAAUUUGUUUGACUUGAUUAGUAACGUGAGAGUCAAGUUAACUGAUGUUAGAUGUAAAUUUGGAUUAAAAAAUUAUUUUUUUGAAGUAGAAUUUAUAUAUCUAAAAACUACGUAAGAAUUAUUAUAAGUCGCAAUAGUCAAUAAUGCAAAAUAUUUGUAAUGUAUUUGAGAAAAAUAUCCAUUAGUAAUGGGUUUAUUCCAUGUUUGGAUAAAAUUGCGAGAUUACUUACUUCGAAAAUAGUUAUUACGAAAUUGUCGUGUUGUUUUAUCCCAUGUGAAAGAUAGACUAUCUAAUCUCACAAUAAUUAUCUUGAAAUAACUUAUUUCCUAAUCAACUGAAUGUAUAAUCGGUAAAAAAAUCAAUAGAAAUACUUUGUGGGGAUUUGUUUUUUUUUCAUUUAAUGAUUUUCACAAUUUGAUGGCCUCAAUCAACUUAUCUUUUGAAAGUCAUUAUUGAUGUUUAAUAUCCAAACAAAUAUGUUUUUUGGCUUAGUAUCACUCUUUUAUAUUUUUAAAAUUUUAAAGUGUUCCUUGACAUCACACCUCUUUGCUUUUCUUUUUCAAUAUCUUAUCAAAUUUAAGGGCUAAAAACAAGAUUUAUUUAAUUCAAUUUUCACAGUUUAUGAAAGUGACAAGAUUUACUUGGUUAGGAUUUUAACUUGAUAUUUUUACCCUUAGUAUAAUAUUGGAGUUUUAAUUUUCUUUCCAAAAAAUCAAAAUAUUAUCAUAAUUGUUUUAAUUCAAAUAAAUUAUGAUUUUCCAUAUUUAGUUAUUCUUUUCUCAUACCACACCAUAAGAGUAUCCAUAAAAGGAAAAACGUACAUGCACCGAGUGUUUAGACAAUGCCAAUGUAAUUGACCAAAUCAUAAUAAUAUUAUGCUUUAUAAUCAAAUUUGAUUUGAAAUAUCGGACUUGAAAAAAAUAAUAAUAAAAUCGAUUAAUAGUGAAUUUUCUCUUUCAACAUGAUAAUCUAGGUCUCUCAUCUUAUUUUAAAGAUUUUCACGAUACGUUUCAUAGAUUUAUCAAAAUUACAAAAUCAAGAUUUCACCAUAAUUUGUAACUACGAAAUAGUGAGCACAUUUAUAUAGAGUUGAAAUUAUAUAUAUUCCCUUUUUACUUAUAAAUUUAAAAUCUUUAUUCAGUUUUGUUUCCAUUGCACCAAAAAGUAAUACUGAAUGAAAUUAUAAGUAAAUUUGGAUCCACUAAAUUUUGAUGUGCUAAAUCUACCUCUAAAAAGUAUAUCAUACACAAUAUAUUUUGUCAAAUUAAAUAAUUUACAUUAGCAAAAUGUAUUUGCACAUAUUUUAAAAAUUCCUUUUUUUUUUUUUUUGUAUUUGCACAUAUUUAAAAGUUCUAUUUAACUAUAUAAUUUUUGUUCAUUGGUUUUCCCAAAUUGAACAUGUAUGGUUCAUCCUAAACAAAUAUAAGUAAAAAAUUUAAGGUUUAAAAAAUAAAGGAAAAAGAUCCUUUAAAAUAUUUAAUGAGAAAAUUAAUUACUCCAAUAUAACAGCUGACCUUUAAUUAGACUAGGGAUAACUCUAAACAAUAUUCUCUUAAUUAACUAUUAGAAGGUUACACUUUCACAAUCAAAUUAAAGUGAUUUAAUGAUUGUGCAAUUGAUCAAAAAUCAAAUAAUGGUUUUUGAGUUACUUUAGAAAACAAGAUAAGCAAUUACCCCUCGAUUAAAAACAAAUUCAAAAUUUAAAAUUUAUGAGUUUUUGUAAUAAUUUUAAGUUAAUUUAUAAUAAUAACUGAGUUCUAAUUACAUAUUUAUAAAAUACAAAUAAAGUUUUUAAUACAUAUACAGAGUGCAAAUAAAGAUUAUUAGAUUCUCGAAAAGUCACCCCUAUCUCAAUUUCCAUUUUGAACAAAUAUAUAUAAUUUUUUCUUUUUAAAAUAUUUAUGAAUAUGAAAUUCUAGUCCUUUUAUGGUGUUACUAAAUUUUAAAUCAAUAACGUAUAUGUAUUCAAUUAAUUUCUUAAAGACAAAAUAUAAAAUCUGGAAUAAUUGCAUUUGAUCAAAUUCGUAACUUAUAUUCUAGCUCUGAUUCAGUUAUAUCCGAAUAAUAAAAUUAACAUUAUAUUCAAUAACAUGACUCAUAAAAUAACCCUAAGGGGUAGCUCGGCUGGUAAAGGCCUGAGGACAAAGUCCUUCAUGUCGCCAGUUCAAGCCCCAGCAAAGGCAUUACAAAUCGACCGCGUCUCCAGGGCCCCGUGGAACUAACCGCCUUGAAACUACGGGACCCGAUGAAUACAACUAGUCGGAUUCGCAAAACGAUAUCAGAAACCCCGGCAAAAAAAAUAAAAAUAACCUCAUAAAAUAAAUUUUCUUUUGUGUAUAUAUAUAAAAGUUCAAUCCACAUUAUAUACCUAACUUUUCUAUGUAAGAAGUAUCAAAAUUAUCCAAUCAAUUAAUCAUUUACAUGUUCUAUGUCGAACUAUUCUGAUUACAAUUAAUUAAACUUUAGACCAAACUUUCUAAUUAAUUAUAAAAAAAAUUUGGGCUAUAUUACUGUAGCAUGUAGGUACACUACCUACCAAAAAUUAAUUAUAUUCACCUCAUAAUUGAUUCCUCUAAAAAGGGAGAUGUGACAAAUAAAGUGCUUAAAUUUUCAUAUGAAGUUUCCUAAUAUUGUUUGUUAUUCCAUAAAAUAAAAAUAAAAAGAAAGAAAUUAAUUUAUGUGUUAAUUAAGCAGCCAAAAGAUCAUGUGAGAUAUUUCUCAGUAUUUAAAUUUUGUUUGAAAUGAAUGUCAAAUUAGCAUAGAGAACUAAAUUCACGGCCAAGUGAAAGAGUCUAAAAACUCAUAUUAUAGCGUGUUUCAAGAUUUGUAUUAUUUAUCUGUUAUAGCGAUAUGUGAGAUGAGAUUAAAACGUAAAACUUUCAAAGGGUUUAACAUGUCGAAUUUCAUACUUGAUAUACCAGAAUGACUAUUUAUUUUUACACCAAAUGAAUCUAAUCAUAAGUGAAAUAAAAAAACAUGCAUAGCAACGAAAAUAACGUAUCACCUAUUUAUCGUUCUCGCUCAUAAAUCUAACAAAAUAAGUUUUUUCUAUUUAAACAAAAAAAUUUAGGAAAAAUUAGUAAACUAGUCAAAAUAAAUAACAUAUUUAGUAAAAAUAUCGAUACUUUAUAAAUAUUAGCAAUAAUGUCAAAAAUGUCAUUAUUUUAAAAAAUUUAUGUGUCCCAAUUUUUCUCCUAUUUUAUCUCUCUUUUUCAAUUAAUUCUAUAUAUCCUUUUUUUUAAAAAAAUAAAUUAUUCUCUCUCAUAUUUAUCUUUUCAAAUUGUUAAUUCUCUCUCCCAUUUAAUUUUUUUUUCUCUCUCAUGAUUAUUUUUUCUGAUUUUCCUCCUAUUGCAAAUAUUUUUCUGCCAUAUAUUUUGGUUGUUUUUUUAAUCCAAAAUUGGAUUAACAAGAAUCCCUUUGAUUAAGGUAUCUCUAAUUUUUAUCCUAUUUUCAGAUUUUUUUCUAAUUUUAUUUUUGUUUAAAUCUUAAAAAAAUGUUGUUUGUAUUUUUCAAUUUCCGUUAUGAUUUACUCUCCAAUGGCUGAAUCCAAGAGGCUUACUAGAGGUAUUCAUCUUAAUCAACCAAUUUCUGGCAAUUUUUCAUCCUUUAAUUUAUUUAUUACUUAACAAAUAGUGUAUAAUGUAUGAUUAGCUGCUAAAAUGAGGGAAGAAAGAGGAUAAGAACAUUUACAAGACUCAUUGGUGUGCAAAACCUUCCUCAAAUUCAAAACGCAAAUGUAGAAUCUUUGUCUACUCGUGAGGAUCUUGAAAAAGACGACGAAGAUCGGAUAGUUGUCGAACAAUUUUCUAUUAGUUUGUUUUGUAUUUAUAGUUCUUUUUUAGAAUUUGGUAUGCUUUCUCAAUUUGUAUUCAAAUCACUAUGUAUACUAUCAAUAUUUGUAUUUAUUAAAAAUUUCAUGUUGCAUGGGUUAUGAAUCUUGUAUUUGUCCCUAAUUUGUAUUCAUCCAAAUGUAUGUCAACUAGUUAUGUAUUUUAUUUAUAAUAAGAACAACUUUCUAUUAGUUUAUUUGUAUUCGAAUACAAAUACAAAUAAUAGACGUAUUGGAAUGAAUACGACUUAGAAAAGGAAACAAAAUUUUGAAAAGAAAAAUAAAUACACAGUGAAAAAUAUAUACGAAUACAAAUGUAUUUCUUAAAUAGCUACAUUUUAUUUGACAUACAUAUUGGAAUGAAUACAAACUAAUAAAGAAAUACAAGCUUCAUUAUACAAAAUACAACAUGAAAACUAGAAUGGAUACUAAUAAAAACGAUAUACAUAUUGGAAUAAUUACAAUUUAGGCAAGGAUACAAAAUUUUAAAAAAUAAAAUAAAUAACUGUGAGAAAAGUAUGACAAUUACAAAUAAAACUAUAGGUGUUCAAGUUUCUAAGUUAAAGAAUAAAUAAAUUUAAUUAAGAAAACUAUAAUGUAUUAUCAUAAAGUUUCAUAAUAAUAAUUAGUGAGAAUGAGAUAUUAUAUUUUUUUUAUCAUGAUUUUCAUAACAAUAAUUAGUGAAAAAUUGAUAUUGAAAUUUUAUAGAUGUGGUACUUCUUUAAUUCCGUGAUUUUUAUAACAAUAAUUAGUGAAAAUUGAAUAUUUAUUUUGGUUAAUAAAAGUGUUUAGAAACAAAAAAAAAAGAUUACCAGAAUUGAAUAUUGAUUUUUUUUAGAACAAUGGAGAAAAAAAAGAAUUCUUUAUAACAUGAUGAAAAAAAGAAGAAAUAGAUGAAAGUUGGUGUAUUUUAAUAAAUUGUAACUGAUGAAACUUUUAACAUUUGUUCCUUUUUAAAAAUAAUAAUCUCCCCUAAAUUCCUCUCAAUCGAUUAUAUAAAAAUUAUAUUUUUUUAAAAUAAAGAUACAUAACAAACUUAAAUUUUGACAUUUUUACUAAAUAUUGAAAGUGUUGUUAAUGAACCCUCUUAAAUGUUAAACUAUUGACAUUUUAAAAAAUUUCCCAAAAAUUUAUACAUUGGAUUCACAAAAGGCCCAUUAAGAAAUUAAAUUGAGCCCGUUUUACAUCCGGCAGCCAAUUUAGAUUACUAUUUAAGCUAUAGCCAGUUAAAUAAAAUUAUUUAACUUGUAGCCUUUUGACAAUUUUUUUUAAUUUUCAAUUUAAUUUUGAUUAGUUUCGAUUGAAAAGGGACAAAUGAAAUUGGCUUAUCGAAAUUAAUGAGGUAAUCAUGAGUGAAAUAAAAUGAAUGAAUUGUCGAAGUUCAUAUAAGAGUCUGAAGUUUUUGGACAUUCACUUAAAUUUGAAAUAAAAGUAUUUAAAUAUCUAAAAUUUAUUUGCACAAAUAAUAUAUUUUAUUUAAGAUAUUUUUAUCAUUAGUUUUCAGUCCCGUAUAUAUCUGAAGUUAGUUAACUUUAUAUGGAACCAUUUUUUUUAACUAAACAUGUUUUACACUAAUGGUAAUCACUAAAGUAGUAGUAGCUCUUAAUUAGGAAGUACGUAAAUCAUAAGAAAUUAAGAAAUCAAUUUUCAAACGUAUUUCUAUUUUUGAGAAAAGAAGUUUUCAGAAAGUAAAAUAAAUAAAGCAAAUUUCUUUUUCUAUAAUAAGUAAGAACAUUGAAAGGCACAAAUGAAAAUAGGUAGAACUAGAAAUCUGAAUACGAGUUCAAUCGAAUUAAUUUAGUAACUGUUGUUCAAAUAGCAUAUGUGUACUAAAAAAAUCAUUAAAUAUGUAUAAAUGUUAAGUUCUACUCUUACUCAGAUGUCUUGAGUUUGAAUUGUUAAAAGUUAAAAAAAAAAAAUAUUAAGACAAUCGCCCUCAGAAAAGAUCCUGUAAUACACCAAUUCAAAUUUAAUUAAUUGAGCAAAUUCAAAUUAAUUAAAAUCUACCAUAAAUAUCGACUACCAAUCGAAAAAUUCACAAUAAUAUUGAAAGAGACUCUGAAGAUCUUGAAAAUAAGAAGGGAGUUAGGUAUUAAGUACAAUUUUCUACCAAAGAAAUGAAAUUUCUUCAACAAAUAUAUAUGCCUUUUUCACAUUAACAAUGAUGGAUACUUCACACUUGUAAUGGUGACUAUUUUACUUUUAAACAAUAAUAAUUAAAUGCAUUGAUAUUAGGGAAUUGGGAUGUUAAUACUUUUUUAAUGAGAAAAUUAAUUUUAUUUAUAUAUUCAUGAUUGAAAAAUAUUAUUAUUGUUGACUUAUAUUUCGUAUCUAAUAAGUGUAUGAUAAAUACUCACUAAUUAUGUACCUACUUUGCACUAUAGAUCGACUAAAAUUUCUAAUUAAAGUUAAGCUCAGCAUCUCUCAUAAAUCAUUUGAUUGAAAUGUCCUUUUUUAUAUGCAUAAAUUUAUGUAUUAUUUUAUGUUGAAUAGAAUGUUAAAUAAAAAUAUUAAUAUUGCAAGAAUUAGAUUAUUUAAAGAUAAAAAUAUGUUGAAUUAAAGUAAGAAAUUCUUAUAUUACGAUUUCUACAUUAUUAAUUACCAUAUAUAACAAUCUACCUAUACCAUUCUUAUAUUACUACUAAUUACGAUUUCUAAAUAACUUGUUGCGAACAAAACGAUCUCAGAAACGUAAGGCUAAAACCUACAUCCUUGAAUCCCCUCUACCCCUAUCCCACCCUACCCCUACCCCCACUUCAAAUUUUAAAAGAUAAUUAAUAUAUAUAGAGCCAUCAAAAUGGGUUUGAUCCGCGAGGUCGGUCCGAUCCAAUCCUUAAAUUAAGUGGGGUUGGGCCUAAUUUUUUUUGGUCCACUUAGAAACGAGACUUUUUAAUCCAACCUCACUUGACCCGCUAGCCUCGUAGGCCCAACCCGCUAGCCUCAAAGGCCAGCUCGUGGGCUUUGAAUAUUUAAAAAUAUUAUAUAUAUUUAGUAGUGUUUUAUUUGUAAAUGUUUUAUCAAUAAAUAUGUUAAAAACAUAAAUAAUCAAGUCUUUUAAACUAGCUUGUUUUUUUGUGGGAGAAAUGGUUAAAUGAUCAAUAUUUUUCUGUUAAAUCUUACGUUGACUAUUAUGUAUUCUAGUAAGCAUUCACCGAAGUGUGAUAUUCAUAAAUGUAUUUCUACAAGUAUUCGCUGAAGUGUGUGAUUCAUAAAUGAAAAUUUGUAUGUAUUGAUGAUUAUUUAUAAUUGGUAUAUGAUUUUUUUAAUUCAGUUGGUUGCAUAUAAUGAAUAGUUUGACAUAUAGAUAAAAAUAUGAUGAUGAAUCUCUUUGCAAAGGAAGUUGGUAGAAAAAAAAAAGUGAAGCAUUUAGAGAUUAUUUUUUCACUGUGAAUUGUAUUAGCAACUUAGUUACUUUUGCUAGAGUUUUUUAAAUUUUGAUUUAAUAUAAAUAAUUUAGCUAAAUAUAUUAUAUUGUCAAUGCUAAUCAUUUGAUCCUUUAGUAUUCUAUUUUCUUUUUGCUAUGAAAAAAAUUAAUAUAAUUAUUUCAUUUUAACAACAAAAACGAAAUUGAUGAUGAUUAGUUUCAUUUUUAUUAUAAUUAUAAAAAGUAAUUGAAAAAUAAAAUAUUAUUUUCAUGAUGUCAUUUUUUGUGUAUGUAACAAUUUGUCACCAUUCUUUUUGCUUCGAAAUGUAUUUAUAAUUUUUAUGUAGUCACCAAUUAUUAUAUUUUCUCUGUUCAAUUUUUAUAUUUUCACCCCUUAUUUUAAUUUAUUUAUUUUACAAAUAAAAUCAAUACAUAAUUAGUAAUACAUUAUAGUCUAAUAAAAUUAUACAUAUUAACUAUUUAUAACUCAUGUCUCUUCAUCUUACUAGUAACAUUUGAUAUUAAAAAUUAUUCAUAACUUUUAUAUAUUUUAUUUUUCGAAAGUCUUACAAAUAUUAAAUUAAUGUUUAAAAAAUUACAAUAAGUAAAUGCAAUAAUAAAUUUAAAAAAAGAUCAAUUUUGUUUUGAUGAAAUCAGAAUUUGAACAAAACAUUAGUACGGCCUACAAAAGAUAUAGAAAAUUAUAACAUAUAAAAUAUUUUCACCCUAAUACAAUAUAUUGUUAUUUCAACAUAUUAUCUCUUAUUCCAUUUACUUCACUAUGGUAAAUAUUUUGUUAUAAUAUAUAUAUAUAUAUAUAUAUAUAUUAAAAGUCUAUAAAAAGCAUACAAGAAAAAAUAUUAAUAUUAUCUAUACAUUUGAUACUAACCUAAAUAUUACAUAUUUUAUGUUAUUAUCUUAUAAAUAUUUUAUAUAAUCGCGCAAAGCGCGAAUAAUUUCACCAGUUAAUUAAUAUAUCCAAAUUGAGAGUCUUUUUACUAAUAAGAAAAGCUAUUUUUGGACAAUUGUUUCGUGUAAGAUUUCAUAGAGUGAAUGAAUGAAAAAUGACAAGUGCAAUACAAGCAAGAUACCAUUUUGUUUGGAUGAAAAUAAAAAUAAUUAAAGUUAUAUAGUUUUAAAAUUGCUUAGCCAUGAAGAUAGAGUCAACACUAGCCAACUUGACUAAAAUCACAUUCGUCCCAUCAUAAAAAAUAAACAAUAUAUAUCUCGUUUGAUAUUAUACGUGAAAUUUGAGGAUCGAAGAAUAAAAUAUAUGUAAAUUUUAGCUUCGCAGAGUAUAAAGAUUAUUUUGAAAGAUUCAAGAUACGUUACUAAUACAAAAAUUAAUAUAUAGGAUGAAAAUAAAUUAGGAAAAAAAAUUAAUGGCAAACAUUAGUAAAUAUAGCCAAAGUACCCUAUGAUUAAAUUAUUAUUGGAAAAAGUUCCUUCUCAGAAAAUUAAUUAUUUUUUUUAUAAAAGGUGUAGUGAUGAAUUAGAUAAGAGCUACAUUUGAUUAAUUUUUUUUAAAAAAAAGUAAAUACUACCUUUUAUUUUCUCCAUUUUUUUAAAAUUAGUUUUUAUCAACUAUAAAAAUAGAUUGUAUUUAUUAUCAUAUGCCAAACAGUUGUACGCAUGUUCUACACAAAAAAAAAUCUGAAACAAAUAUUUGUUUUCUCACCGCUAAAAUAUUACAUUAUAAUUGCAAAAAUUAUUAAAUAGUCGAAAUUUACCCAAUAAUUGAAAAAUUAUUAAAUAGUUCAGAUUUACCCAAGUUAAUUAAAAAAUCAGUAAGAUAUUGCCUUUCAAGUACGUACUAUUUUUAUAGUUCAUUUUUUUUCUAAAUCAAAUUAGUGGGGUAUUAAUUAUAUGUGGUGUUUAAAGAUAGAUAAUAAUGAGUAAUUUAGACAAUGCACUCGUAAUUGGCAUAAUUAAAUAUUUUUUUAAAGAUGUAAAAAAACUUUUAGAAAUAUAUAACAUGAAUCGAAAUAAGUAUUAUAUUAUCUACUUGCACUAGCUCAUAUAUAUAUUUUAUAUUGGUCAUGGUUAUGAAAUCAAAUUUCUGUUGUUUUUGAGUAACGUAAUGACGUUAUAAUCGAUUGUUAUGAUUAUAAGUUCGAAUCAAGCUCGAAGAAAUCUGGUCGAUUUGAUUUUUUUAAAAUUUUGAAAUAAAGGGAUAUAAUUUGCUUAUUUUUAUUUCCAUUGCACAUAUUCUAUUAUGUGUGAUUAAAAACUCACCAUCAAUGAAUUAAUUUAAAUUUAAUCAAUAUAUAUAUUAAUUUUUUGUAUAUAAAAUACUUUUUAUUAAAAAUAAUUUCAUGAUCAGAAUUCGAACUCGAGAACAAGUUAAUUACCGUAGACGCUAGACAGCAAUGCCAUACAAUUAUUUUAGUCUGAGCUCAUGACUAACGUGAUCUUUUCAUGCCAUGUGAUCAUUUACUGCCACCAAAUAUUAAAUUUAUUCAGUGGGUUCAAUUUUUCAUAUUUUUUUCAAAUAAAUUAAUAUACUUUUCAUCUAUUUAUGUACAUUUUGUACAAAAAAGAAAAAUGAACCUGUUUGAUUAAUAAGGGGAAUUAAGUAGUUGCGAUAUUAAAUUAAUUCGCACCCAAUGGCAAAAUACUAUUCAUAGGGCUUAUUAACUAUUAAUGUUUGAAAAUAGAAGGUUAUAAUUAUAUAGGGUUAAAAUACUUUUUUCUGAUGGCGUCAUCAAUAAAUUUAUAAAAAAUUAAUUUUUAUAUUUAAAUAAAGUUAUAUAAUACUAAUUCGAUUAUUUCAAUUUUUUAGUAUUAAAUAAAUUUGAAGAAGUUAAAUUAAUAAAUAAAUGAAUUAUUCAAUCUCAAUCGAUUCAAUUUUUUUUUAUAGACUGAUCUUUUCACCCAUAUUAAUCUCUAAUAUACAAACUAAAAAAUACAGGUUGUCUUGGAAAUAAAUUAAAAGUGAAGAAAAAUAUAAAAAAAAGUGCAAAGCAUUUUUGCAACUCUCCAAUUGGUACACAAAAAGAAAAAUAAUAAUUGGUGAUUCUCUUUAUUUUAGCACCAGAAAGUCACUGUGUGUUUGCUGGAAAAGGUCAAAAAAAAGAAGAAGCAAAUAAAUAAAUAAAUAAACCAGAAAUAAAUUAAGUUUGGUAAUUUUGAUAUAUAACUAUGUGCAAUUACUUCUUACAUUAUUAAAAAAAGUGCAAACUACAUGAGGAUAUUAUUUGAGAAAAAUUGUCACAAGUAAUAUUUGUCGAUUUUUUUGGAAAAAAUUUAAGUUUCUUAAUAUAAAAAUAUAUUAUCUGCGAGAUAUAUAUUGCCAACAAAAUUAGCUCAUUUUGCGCAAAAUGAGUUCCCACGAUAUUACCUAGGAAAAUAUAUCGCGGGAAUAAUAUCUCUAGGUAAAUCCCUAGCUACGUGGACCUAAAAGAAAAUUUAAAAUUCCUUUUUAAUUUGUAGGAAAAUUAAAGGUUAUUUAAAAAUUAUUUUUAGAGAUUUAAGAAUGAUUAGACCAAUUAUCUUUUAAAUGGUUGAAUUCUUUUUCACUUAUAAAUGUUUGGAUUAUAACCAAUUAAAACUCACUUAAAAUUUUAGAAAUUAGAAAAUAAUUAUAAGACCAAUUAAAAAUUUAUUUUGCUUCACGCUAACCCACUAAACUAGAUGAAAGAAAUUUCACUGCUGUUUUCAUCUCCAAAGUUAAAGACGAAAACAAAUCGAAUUUUUCAUCUCAAAGAUCUUAUCGAUGGAAGAAUUUCAUCUCAAAGGUCCCAUGCGAACCUUAUGUUUCUCUCCAGACGAAUUUUUUCAAUGUAGAGUACUGCAGAUCCAGAAGAUUUGCUUGUCAAUCUACCAACAUAUAUAUGUAUUUGUACAUAUAUACCAAAGCAGUGAUUUGAUAGAUUGACCUCGCUUUUUUGGUAGAUUGACAAGCAAAUCUUCUGGAUCUGUAGUACUCUACUUCGAAAAAAUUCACUUAGAGAAGCAUGAGGUUCGCUUCGGAGCUUUAAGAUGAAACUUCUUCCACCGAUUGGAGUUUUGAGAUGAAAAAUUCGAUUAUUUUCGCCUUAGCUUUGGAGAUGAAAACAGUAGUGAAACUUCUUCCACAACAUUCGAGUUUUGGAGAGAAGCUUCUAGUUUAGUGGGUUAGAGUGAAGCAAAAUGAAUUUUUAAUUGGUCUUGUGAUUAUUUUUCAAUUUCUAAAAUUUGAAGUGAGUUUUUUAUUGGUUAUAAUCAAUUAAAUUAUAAGUAAGUGUAAAAGAAUUCAACCAUUUUAAAGAUAAUCGGUCUAAUUAUUUUUAAAUCCCUCAAAAUGAUUUUUUAAACAACCUGAAAAUUUCCUACAAAUUAAUUAAGCACGUUAUAAACUAAAGUUGAUAUUUUAUAAACUUGUUAGGCCUUAGUUAUAAAAUAUGUAUUAGUAUUCAUAAACUUUCCAUCCAUUUCAUUUUAAUGGUUGCUUUAGUUGAUAAAACUAUUUCGUUUCAUUUUAAACAUCGCUUUAAUUUAAAAAAUUUAUCUCAAAAUAAUUAUUAUUUCAGAAAUUCAAAAUUUAAAUUGACAAUUGUUUCCAACUAUACCCUUAAAAUGAAAGAAGCACUCAAUUCUUUUUAACACUACUUAAUUUAAAAAAUAAAUCUAAUAAAUAAGGAUAAUUUAAUAAAUUAUACUUGUAUACAUUUUACAUUUUAAAUGUUAAAAAGCUAAGACGAUAACUAAUAUAAAAUGAAGUAAGUAAAUAAUAUAUAUUCAAAUUGACUACUAUUUUUUUUCUUAAAUACAUUAAUAAUGUAGCAUAAUAGAAAAAAACUUUUGGGUGUAAUUAAUUAAUUACACAUAAAUAAUUAGGUAUGAAAAGGGAAGUUCAAAACUUUUAUGAAGGCUUUUAAGAACCUUUUGGUUCUUAAUUUUUACCCCUUCUGUCUCAAUUAUCAAUCACAAUUUUUAAAAAUAAUAAUUUUGAAUUAUUUAUCAUUUCAAAAGUUUAAAAAAAAAAUAAUUUUAUUUAUCCUUAAUAUCUUAAUACAUAAUAAAGGAAAAAUUAGCAAAAUUAUUUUUAAAUAAUAAUUUUUUUAAUAAAUAUAUAUAAAAAAUACGAUAAAUAAUUGAAGACAGAUAAAUAAUAGAAAUCAAGAAGCUAUAUAUUAGCAUCUUAGCUGAAAACCAUCAAAAAUUAAAUUUUAAGUUAUAAUUCAAAUUGAUGAAGCUUUAAACAAAAGCCACUACUGCUGUCAAUUUUAGAACCCAAAAUUAAUUUUAUUUCGCCAACAAACUCAAAAUCACAUAAAUUUAUUAAUAUACCCCCAUUAGGCAUACACAAUAUUACUUUAAAAAAAUAGUUGUCAAAUUAAAUAAUUUUAAUGUCUAUAUACUAAUAAUGUACACAACUUUUUUAUACAAUUAAUGUAGUUUUAACUUUUGUGCUAGUAAGUCAAUCACCGUUCACACGAAUGUGAAUGUAGCUGAUUCAUUUGAAUUCACUAUUUUUAGGUGCAAUAUAAAUUUAAUAAAAUUCACUAAAAUUAUAUAAAAGCUCACUUAAUUAAAAUUACAAUAAGGUCAAUGCUAAUGACCAUAAAAUACUAAAUCAAAUUCAGAAUUUACUUAUGCAUUUAUAUUGGAUUACCUAGCUAUUAAUAUUUAUAAAAAAAUGUUGAAUAGUAAUUAUUUUGAGCGAGUAAUUUGAUUGUGUAAGUAAUUUAUUUGACUGACGUUGCGUAUAACUUAAACAAUUUGACUGAGAAAUUCUAACAUUUAAUGCAAAAUGAAAGAAAACACUACUUCAAUUCAAUUAUGGACAGACAAUUUUUUGAAUUCAACAUUGAAUUAGAGUAUGGACCAAGGAAAUAAUAUUUGACCAUGUUGUCUGAAAGCAAAAUGGUUUUGUUUCAAAUUAAGAUGAAAAUUGUUUUCUUAUGAUGAAGAGAUAAAAGUGUCAUUAAAAAACAGGUUCUCAUUAUUAUGUAUGAAUCCCAACUCUGAAUGUGGCAAACGGGUAGUAGUUGAAGCAAAUUAAUGCAAAAAUAUAUAAUCAAUGCAAGAGCAAGAAAUGUCAAGUUUUCUAGCAAGUAUAUAAUGCCCUUUGGAUCUUGAUGCCAUUUGCUCAAAUUAGUUGUUUGAAGAACAGAAAAAUAAAUAAAUAUAGGGUCACAUACAAUUCAAAAUUUUUACUCUUUGAAGAUGAUAAGUGAGGGAGUGAUGAGGGUAGGGGUGUUAGCAUUAUUUUGUUUUUAUGUUCUUGUGGGGAGUGUGGCUUUAGCUAGAAAUGUGAAAGAUUUCGAGGAUGAGAAGUUUUUUACUAUUGGUGAGGGAGGGGGACUUGGUGGUGGUUUUGGUGCAGGUGGAGGUUCUGGCAGUGCAGGUGGUGGAGGGUAUGGUGGAGGCGGAGGAGGUGGUUAUGGUGGCGGUGGUAUAGGUGGUGGGUUUGGAAAAGGUGGUGGAAUUGGGGGUGGUGCAGGAGGCGGGGGUGGAAUAGGUGGAGGAAUUGGGGGUGGUGCGGGAGGCGGAGGAGGAAUAGGUGGAGGCAUUGGCAAAGGUGGUGGCAUUGGAGGAGGAGUUGGUGGCGGUGCAGGAGGUGGGGGCGGAAUAGGUGGUGGCAUUGGAGGUGGAGCUGGUGGUGGGGGAGGAAUAGGUGGAGGCAUUGGUAAAGGUGGUGGAAUUGGAGGUGGAGCUGGUGGUGGGGGAGGAAUAGGUGGAGGCGUUGGUAAAGGUGGUGGUAUUGGAGGAGGAGCUGGUGGUGGUGCAGGAGGCGGGGGAGGAAUAGGUGGAGGCGUUGGAGGUGGAGCUGGUGGUGGGGGAGGAAUCGGUAAAGGUGGUGGCAUCGGUGGAGGAGCUGGUGGUGGGGGAGGAAUCGGUAAAGGUGGUGGCAUCGGUGGAGGAGCUGGUGGUGGUGCAGGAGGUGGGGGUGGAAUAGGUGGAGGCAUUGGUAAAGGUGGUGGUAUCGGAGGAGGAGCUGGUGGUGGUGCAGGAGGCGGGGGUGGAAUAGGUGGAGGCGUUGGAGGUGGAGCUGGUGGCGGCGGAGGAAUCGGUAAAGGUGGUGGCAUCGGAGGAGGAGCUGGUGGCGGUGCAGGAGGUGGGGGAGGAAUAGGUGGAGGUGUUGGUAAAGGUGGUGGCAUUGGAGGUGGAACGGGUGGUGGUGCAGGAGGUGGUAUUGGUGGGGGAGCUGGAGGUGGAAAAGGAGGAGGAAUUGGUGGUGGUGCUGGUGGAGGAGCCGGUGGUGGUAUAGGAGGAGGCAUCGGUGGAGGAGUUGGAGGUGGUGCAGGAGGAGGUAUUGGAAAAGGUGGUGGCAUAGGUGGAGGAGCCGGAGGUGGUGCUGGAGGCGGCUUUGGUAAAGGUGGUGGCAUAGGAGGUGGUAUUGGCAAAGGUGGCGGCAUUGGUGGAGGAGUUGGGGGUGGUGCUGGAGGUGGAAUUGGCAAAGGUGGAGGCAUUGGAGGUGGCGUAGGCGGAGGUGCCGGUGGUGGUGUAGGAGGAGGAAUUGGCAAAGGUGGUGGUAUUGGUGGUGGUGCAGGAGGAGGAGUUGGUGCUGGCAUUGGUGGAGGAGCCGGUGGUGGUGGAGGAGGAGUUGGUGGUGGCGUCGGAGGAGGUGUCGGUGGUGGUGCAGGAGGAGGAGUUGGUGCUGGCAUUGGUGGAGGUGCCGGUGGUGGUGGUGGUGGUGGAGGAGGAGUUGGUGGUGGCGUCGGAGGAGGUGCCGGUGGUGGUGGUGGUGGAGGAGGAGGAGGAGGGGGAGGAGUUGGUGGUGGCGUCGGAGGAGGUGUUGGUGGUGGUGCAGGAGGAGGAGUUGGUGGUGGCAUCGGAGGUGGCGGUGGCGGUGGAGGUGGAGGAGGAGGAGGAGUUGGUGGUGGCAUUGGCGGAGGUGUUGGUGGUGGUGUAGGAGGAGGAAUUGGCAAAGGUGGCGGCAUCGGAUUUGGUGGUGGUGGUGGCGGAGGAGGAGGAAUCGGUGGCAUUGGAGGAGGUGCCGGUGGUGGAUUUGGAGGCGGAUUUGGUGUAGGAGGUAGUUUAGGUGCAGGUAUCGGAGGUGGUUUUGGUGGAGGAGGUGGUGGUGGAAUUGGAGGAGGUUACUAAAUAUCCUUAAACACCAAAUUAAGCUGCUGCAUUGUUAUUAUUAUCAUUCUAUUUUCAGAAUUGUAAUUCAUUAAUAUUACAUGUAAUGAACUGAAAUUCCUACAUCAAUUCUAUUCAUUAUUAAAUGGAUACUAUGUAAUAUUAUUUUCCUUUAUAAAGACCCUAAUUAACAAUAUCCAUCAAAUUUAUGAAACUGAAAUAUACAAUAUUUAAUGUGCAAGAAAUUAAACAUGAGGCAAAAAUGAACAUAAACUAUAUUAUAUAGCAAAAAAUAGCUAAUAAUAUACACUAUGAACAUAGAGUAUCUUUUAAUAAAAUCUGUAUAAAUUGUUGAAUUUUCUUAACACAAUUUUGAUAUUUCUUUUUUAAAAAAGUAAAAAAAAUAUAACACCUAUAAUUCAAAUUCUCAACCGCAAAAUCUAAUUUUUGAGUCACCAUUGGCGUUUGGCAUUGCACAAUAAAAGUUCUACUACCAAAGACAAAGAGAUUCAAUAAUAUUUUAUGAUUAUUUUUAACUCGAUGUAUAAUAUCCAAAAUUCAUUUUCUAAAAAAAGAUAACUUAAUAAAUAUUUCAUUUGAAUUGGCUCGAAAAUAAUCAAAAGAAAGAGAUAAUAGCCAAAAUUAUAUUUGAAUAAUCUACGAAUUUCAUAUCUAAUUAGUAUCAUUUUGUUCUCUUUUCAACUUUUUCAACCUGAAUUAAGUUUUAAUGCAUAGAUAAUGAAGUUCAGAAAUGAGAAAAGAACAAUUAAUAUCUAGAGGAUAAAAUUCACCAAAUAAUAAUAAUAACUCAAAUGUGAGUUUUAUUAUAAUCCUUAUAAGAAAAAAAAAUACGUAUAAAGUGAGUUAAGAAAUAUGAAAUCUCACGUCUAAUAAACAUCAAAUAAUUUCUUUCCAUACUUUAAUAAAUAGAAUUACGUGAUAAUUAUAUUAACAGAUAAAAUUAAUUGUAUUGCUCGUAGACGUAGACGAUCACACGAGAUACCGUGAUUAUAAAAGUAAAAAAAAAAAGGUUAGAGCCCUAAAACCCCUUUUAAACCCUUUACAUUUCUAGGACUGUGGAGUUCCCAUUUUCAUUGCAAACAAAAUCUCUGUUAUCAAAAGGUAAAAUUACUAAUACAAAAUUCUAUCUUCUGUAAAUCCCUUUUAAUUCAUACCUCUCCAUGUAUUCAAAAAAUGGUAGAAAUUAACAAAUAAUUUUUUUUUUUAAAUAAAAAAGAGAGAAAAGAUUACAGCUUUUCUUCUCCUUCAAUUUGGGGUUGUUUGUUCUUGUUGUUCUUUUUUUUUUUUUUUGUGGUUAAUGGUUAGUAUAUUGAAGCAGUAAAUUGUGGUUGGUUUCAGAUUUUAACUAAUAUAUUCAAGAUUGCUUCUUUUUCUGUUUUUUUUUUAAGAAUCAAGAAUGUAAGUGAACAUGUUAAAAAUUUGUUCUUUUUUCCAGGUUAUUGUCAUUUUGUGCAAAAGGGGGGUGUUUUUCUAAUCUAUAAGAGUUGUUCUGGUGAUUUAUUGAGUUGGAAAAUGCCGGAUAUUGAGAGACUUGUGAAUGAUUUUGUUGCAAAGCUCAGCAAACGGUUAGUACUGCAGUUAUAGGAAUUAUCUGGAAGUAUCACUUGUUUGAUUUGAUUGGCUAAUAUGGUUAUCUGCUUUUCUGUUUUUGAAUGAUAGUAAGGUUGAAGGUUCACAAGCAACUUCGCGGCUAACAGCAGAGUUGCUUCGUUCUGUAGUUUCGUUGCAGAGAUUGCCACCUACUAACUCAGCUGCAGUGCUCAUUGAGGCUGUGAGAGGUAUAGGUGUUAAAUUGGUUGCUGCCAACCCCGUUGGUAAGCGUUUUAUCCGCUAAUACAUGAAUGAGGAUCUGCUUGUAGUUAUUUUGAUGUUCUAGAAUGGAAUUUAUUUUUUGAAGUAGUUAAUGAGUUAUUCAAUCCUGGUUAGUAGUGGGAAAUUUGGAUGCUGGAGAUGUUUUUUAAGCAUAUAGUUUGGGACAGGACAUUUGUCUCUGUUAUGCAAUCUUCUUGUGUUCCAAAUGAAUUCAAUGAUAUAUUUGCUUCGUGUCUAGUUUGAUACCAGUUGCUUCACUUGCUCGAAAUAUAGAAAAAUUUGGAUAUAUCUGAUUAACUAGUUGUGUUAACUUUGUUUACUAGUCAUGUGUAGGAGUAGGACUUAUUUGAUCUAUGGUUUAGUGUAAGUCAUUAACUGCAGCUGCCGCUCCAUUUGUUUGUUUCAUUUUUGAACUCGAAUUCUGCUAACAUGUAGUGCUAUACAUUUUUUUUGUUGAACUGGUAACACCUUCGUAUUAAAAUCAUAAAAAGGCUGUGAAAGCCAUAAUUAAGGAGAAAGUGAAGCAAAAUAUAAACUGUGAGUUCCCAGUGAAAUGAUUUGAGUGUGUUGAGGAAUUCAGUGAAUCCGUCUACCUCCCAAUCAUUUAGGAGUCUCCUGAAACUGAAGUUCCAGCCUUGAUUGCUCCAAACUUCACUAAUGUUAACCCUUUGUUGUUGAUUUAAAAUGAAAACAUACGGAUAUAAGAGUUUGAAAGAGCUAUCUCCUAUACAGUUGUCCUCCCAAAAGGAUGUUUCAAGCCGAUUACCAAUUUUUAGUGCUUAUCUUGCUGCUGAAAAUUUGCCAGAGAUUUCUGAUAGUCUUCUGGACACUGACCCCGUACACAAUGUUGACUGAUUUUGUCUUCUAUGGUCUUCAUCUCCGUAUUUGAUCACCUUCUUCUACAAAGAUUGAUCUUUGUUGGAGUAUCUCCAUAAUCUCUUUAUGAGCAGACUUUAGUUCUGCUUUCAAAGUUUUUUUAUACCUACUCCUCCUUGCUUUUUAACGAGGGUAAGAGUUUUCCACUUCACAAGGUGGAAGCCUCUUCUUCCCUUGCCAUAAAAGUUUCCUUGUUACUCUCCUCCCUCUGUCAAAGCUAAGACAUAUACAUCUGCUAUGAUAGCAUUUGCACACAUGCACAUAUAGGGAGAGGGGGAGAAGAGAGAGAGGUGGUGCCCUAGUUCCGAUUUAUUCCAGCGUGUUGGGUGUCCUUCUGCACAUUUUCUUUGGCAUGAACCCCAUUUCUCAUUAUUUGUCAGUCCACUUACUAAAGGAUGUGUACAUAUAUGUAAAAGGGCUCGGUGCACGAACAUCCUGCGUCCACGCAGGGUCCGGGAAAUGUCACAUCUGAAGGUGUAGUGUAGGAAGCUAUCUUGAUGCAAGCAUCCGUCACUAAUUUCACUGCUUGAACCCAUUGAUUUCAAUGCAAGGAUUGUCAACAGACUUCACAUUGAGAACUUAUAGUAAAUUAAUGACCUCUGAAUUCUGAUAGCACUCUAGAUUAAGUAAUCAUAUUUGUUUAUGCCAAGAAUGAUAUGACCAAAAUUUGAUGAAAUUGCAGAGCUUGCUGUUGGAAAUAUUGUUAGGCGUGUUCUUCAUAUUAUCCGGGAGGAGGAUCUUUCUCUUUUGACCAGUAAAACAAGCGACUUAGAUUUAUCAGCUGCAAGUGAUGAUGAACGAACCAUAGACCAGGAUUAUGACCCAACUCAGUCUGCUGCCGCAGCUGCAGCUAAAAGUUUUCUACGGCCUCCUUCAUUGCAUGCACUUCUGGAGAAUAUGUUGGAUAAAGCUGUACCGACUAACAAUUACACCUCCUCUUCAGGUGGAGAUACUGAAGAGAAAAGUAAAGGUAAACGCUCCUGUGCACAUGAAUUUGAAGCAAUCUAGUCAUUUUUUAGUUUCAGUACUGAAUUAUCUGUUAUUCUGUGCUGUAGCUGAUAAACUUGCCAGGACUCGGAAGUUAAAGCAUGAUGUUAUUGAGGCAAUUAACAUAUUAAUUGAAGAUAUUGAUACUUGUCAUGAGCUGAUCGCGGAACAGGCAGUUGAGCAUAUUCACCAAAAGUAUUUACCUUUCGCACGUACUGGAAAAUAUGUCUUUAUUUUGUUAUGCACACUACAGAUUUCAAGUAACAUUGUAGCAUGAUUUGAACACAUGCAAUGGAUAUUGUCAUUUCACUGUUCCCCAUUGUUUGUUGUUCAAGGGGAUUCCCUUUGCAGUUCAAAAAAAUUGUGAUAGGUUACUCAGGACUCACAGCUUGGGUGCGAGGAAAAUGCCACUUCCCUUGAUGGAUAGACAUUUUAUCUGAUAAAUUAACACAUUUUGUUAAUCAAUGACAAAUCUACUGUUCCAACCUUGCUGUGAAAAUGACAAAGAUAAGCUUGUAGCUUAAUUUGCAGUUGCUGUCCUUCUUUACAUUGCUCCGGGGUGAUAUAGUUACGAUUAUAAUUGUAAUGCAAAUGCUUUUUUUUGUUUUAACUUUCACCUCUAAUUUAUUUAUUUGUUCUUUUUCACUCACUUUUGUGGGCAUAUAGCUGCAUAGUUGUGGCGAAUGUAUUUUUUCAAAUCAAAAUGCUAUAGCUAAUUAAAAAAUGCAAUUUUUUCAGUGAAGUAAUACUAACACUAGGUAGUUCGAGAACUGCCUUUGAAUUCCUCUGUGCUGCAAAAGAGAAAAAACGGUCUUUUCAUGUGGUUGUUGCAGAGGGCGCACCGAGGUUUGUGGAGUAUUCUCUAAUUUCCGGGAAAUAAAUGAAACAUGAACCUUCUUUUUCAUUGUAACUAAAAUAUAUCCCCUCUUUGUUUGUGCUUGAUCAGGUACCAGGGGCAUGCUCUUGCAAAAGAGUUGGUGUCAAGAGGUCUACAAACUAUAGUUGUAACAGAUUCUGCUGUUUUUGCAAUGAUUUCUAGAGUAAAUAUGGUAACUUUCUGGAUUGGCUCUUUUAUGUGUAGUACCAAUCUGUAACCUUGUUCUGCUGCUUCGGCUACCUGUGCUCAGAACCGUAACCUUGUUCUGUAGGUUAUAGUGGGAGUUCAUGCAGUGAUGGCCAAUGGUGGUGUCAUUGCACCUGUUGGAAUGAAUAUGGUUGCACUUGCCGCUCAAAAGCAUGCUGUUCCAUUUGUCGUAGUUGCUGGCAUUCACAAGGUAUCUGAGCUUUAUUAUCUCUACAUAUUACUCCCUCCAUUUAAAUUUGUUUGUCUUAGUUUCCUUCUUAGUUUGUUUCAAAACGAAUUCCUCUUUCCUUUCUUGGCAACUUCUUGAUUCGAACUUUCCACAUGACAUAUUUAAGGACACGAAGUUGAAGGGCAUUUUGGUACAUUCCAAAGUCUUCUUUACUUUCUUAGGGAGUUCUUUUUUCCUUACCCAUCCCCAUGACACCCACCCUUUUGCUCCUUUGGUGACUCAAACCCACAAUCUUAGGGUUGGAGGUGAGAGGGGCUUACCAUCCAUGCAACUCCUGAGUCUGCAAUGGAGGGACUAACUAUCAAAAAGGUAUUAUUAAGGUGGGUGGGCGGAGGUGGGGGUGGGGGGGUGGAGAGAGAGAGGUCAUGAGAACUAUCAACUUGUACAGUCCAAACCGUUUAAGUGGCUAUUCUCUCAGCUCUUACUAUUGGCGAUUUUUAUACAUCUUGCUGAUUAUCAUUCUCAAUUUAGAAGGCUCUGAUAACAUGAGAAGAACUCAGCUUUUCAGGUUUACUAUGAUGUUCAGAACCUUUAAAAAUGGUGUAUAAUGUUGAUGUAAGGCUUUGCAGAUCCUUGAAUCCAUUUUGAGUUGACCAUAAAGUUAUCCUUUUUACACUUGCCACUUCAGCAGCAAACUCUUUUUCUACUUUUUCUUGCAGUUAUCAUUAGUUAGUCCGUUUAACUAUUUUCUUUCUGCUACAGUUGUGCCCUUCUUAUCCACACAAUCCAGAGGUUUGUCUGAAUGACAUGCGAUCCCCUGCUGAACUUCUCGAAUUCGGGCUAUUUUCAAACUGCAUGGAAUUUGGAAUGGAUAGUGGGGCUCCUCUUCAAGUUGUCAACCCUGGUUUUGAUUAUGUGGCACCCGAGCUUGUCAGCCUUCUCAUCACCGACAUGUGAGGAUUCUUUACCAUUUUCAACUUUUUAUUCGUCUUUGCAACAACGAUGUCUCAAUCCCGAGCUAAUUUUGGCUUGCACAUAACAAAGCAGCGUGGAUAAUACAGUUCUACAUUGUAUCCUCUACUAAUAUACGGGAAUCUUUUAUUUUGUUAUGUUUAGUAUGCACCAUUCAGUAUGAUGAAGUUCAGUUUACUUUUCAAAGAAAAAGACUACUGCGUUUUAACUCCACCAUAGUUUAUAGUGCAUAAAAUAAACUACUAAAAAAAUCGAGUCAAGGUUUUACAUGCAAAAGUUUGGUGUAUUUGGACUUAGAUAGGCUGAAGGGAGCAACAUGGACCAUGAGGAUUCAUGUAGCCGACCCCACGUUGCUUGGGAUUGAGGUUUAGUGGUUGUUGUGUUUAAGAGGGCGUGCAAUGGGAAUUCGUAAUGUAUUAUUUUGCCACUUUAUGAGUUAAUAAGCAGUUUUAUGAUAAUAAUACUUCUUGCAUCUUUCUGAUUUACAGUGGAGGGCAUAACCCGUCAUAUAUGUAUCGUCUCAUAUCGGACUACUACACAGCUGAUGAUUUUGAUUUGCAAGGGAGGAUACAUAAAUGAAGGUGAUACUUCCUUUAAAUUCUGGUUUUGACUUCGAAAUAAUCUUUCUGAACAUUGAACAUGUUUGUUGGCCAUUUUUAGGAGAAAAAAUUGACUGCUUCAGCAAUUAAAGCUACUUUUAUUAUUUAACCAUGGUUAAAUUGCCAUCCUCUGUACAUAAUGUCAAAUAAAAAUAUAAGAAAAUGAGGAUCUUUUGAUAAAGCGUCGAUAUACACAUCAGAAUCUAUAGCAUAGCAAGAACUAUAAAGAAGGAAAGAAAAGCAAAACAAAGUUUUAUCUCAAUUUCAGACUACUGCACUUCCUGGCCUUGGAUUAACUUGAUUCAGUGCUUAUAUUGGGUGCGAGUAAGUUUUUACCUUCCUGAAAUCAAUCUUUGUUGGCGAGUUACUAUGUAUCUUUAGUCUAUUAGACUCUUACUACGACCACACAAAAACUUUUAUGAUUGUUGCUUUGAUCAGUUUUUUUUGUUUAUGCAGAAAGUAUAUUGAACUCCUUACUGAAUUUAAGCAAUACAUGCUGAUUUCAGGUAUCUUUUGGAGAGCUGUAGUUGACUGAUGAAGAGAAGUGGCAACCAAAAAAUCAAAUGGAACGUGUUUGUUAUCCACUUUGUUGGAUAGCUAUAAAUGAGCUUUUUAGCAUAAACACUUUCUGAACAUUCUGUACUUUGUUCAGACUAUGUUUUGACUUGUUUAAUGUAUUGUAAUGUGUCAAAGGUGGUGAUAUUAGUUUGUUUCGUUCUUGUUAUGGGUGAAUGUUUAGAUGAACUUUACCUCUUGAAUUACAUGUAUCCUCUAUGCAUUUGUCUCUUGAAUGUAAAGGUUAAACGAGUAUCGCGCACACACAAAUAUGGACCUUUGAUUCCCUUUUUUUGGUUGUGCAUAACCACUCUUAAGAAGCUCAUAGAGGGACCAAAAAACACCUUUCGUUUUUCACCCCUAGUCCGCGACUAAGUGGGAAUUAUCUGAACUUCAGAAGCAGUGUCACUAUCACAGGGUUUAUUAGUGAACAGCCUGCAUUUCCAGGCUAAACUGUUCUUUUCUUGAGAUAUGAGAGAAUGAUGUUGAUAUUCAUUGAAAGUAGGUGAUCAAGAUAUGCUUGGAGAGUAAUAUCAUGAAAACAUAUAACUACAAAUCAACAAGCAAUGCCAAAAAAUAAAGUUAUGGUUUUUGAGGGCAUCAAAAUUAGUGUCCAAACAAAUAUGCUAUCAGGUUCCAGGUUCUACUUCUUGCUGAGAUCAAUCCCAGCUUUCUUGGCUACAGCAUCAAGUCCAUUUUUCUCAAUGGUCUUUAUGGCCUUUGUUGACAACCUCAGUUUCACGAAUCGUUUGCCUUCCUCCCACCAAAUUCUCUUGUAUUGAAGGUUUACGAAUUGCAACUUUUUCGUUUUGUGGUUUGAAUGAGAGACCUUGUUUGCCCUGUUGGACUUCUUGCCAGUGAAGGGGCAUACUCUACCUGAAAAAACAGAAUGUAUUCUCUUAAUAUUCUAUACGCUACUUAUCAUAAAGAGGCGCCAAGAUAUUCGAGCACAACCGACAAAAAUGCAGGAAAGCAGGGGGGGAAAGGAAAGAUCAUGAUGAUGUAAGGCAAAGGAUGCUUCACUGGGAAUAUUUGAUUACUCUUGUCCCUAAUUUGUUUUAUUUUACCUAUUAGCUCAAAGGCUUUAAGUAGUUUUGGACUAAAAAAACAAAGGAAUUCAGGAUGCAGUUUGACAAAUGCAGCAACUUAGAAAGGGAGUCAAAGCAAGCAAGAGUGUCAGUGAUAUAGUGCUCCUAAUGACUCUCAUAAUGUGCUUUCUGAUUAGUAAACUAAAGCUUCAUCAGUGAUCUAAAAGCCAAAUACUCUGCCAUUACUGGAUUUCACAAAAGGUAAGUCAACCCUUUACAAUUUGUUGUCAUACAAUGAGAACGAAUUAAACCAAGCUGUUAUCAUCAUAUUCAAAAUAUAAUGUACACCAGAGGGGCGAACACACCGAAGAUUCAAGUUCUGUAGAUUUUUCCUUCCAAAUCUGCAGCUAACACACUCUCUCAGCCUCUCAUUAUUGGUUUCGUCUUCUUUUUAACUAGUUUGGUCACUUGUAAUAAGGACACAGGUGGGUAAAUAAAUAUUAAAAAAUGCAGAAGGUGAAUUUGAGAGGUAAAUGGAUUUACAUAUUCUUGAUAGCGAGAAAUCUACUUUCAUAAGCUUUGAAUCUCAUAAAGCUUUUAUUUCACUAUUAGGCUGCAAGUUUCAUGGAGAGAAGAAUAGGCAGAUGGAAAUCCUGCUCAUUAUCAAGAGAGGUGAAAGCAAGAAAAUGAAGCUCCCUUUAGGCUGCAGUCAGUUUUUAAUGAGACCUAAAAGGCCUCGACAAGAAUUAUAAUAUCUUCUCAUGCAUAUAGUAUUUCUUUUGCAGCUUUGUCUAUGAAUUGCAGCAAAGGAAUGCAAACUUUGUUAACCAAAAAACUGUUGAUACCAUCUAUAUAAGAAAUUUAUCAUGAAAUAAUUUAUAAUUCUUCACUUGGACAAUCUGUUAUGCCUUAAAUAUCGGCAAUCCUUAAGUCAGAGAACAAAGAGCCAAGGAGGAAAAAUUAGGGAUCAUUCAGUAUAUGAAGACAACUAUGGACAAACUUCCAAACUAUAUACCGUAUUUUAUUGAUCUUGUUGUUAUUAAUGCAGUUAACGCGGCAGCUCCCUUUAAUCAAUAUGCUGUAGUCCAUCAAGCUCUUCCCAGUUUGUUAAUUUUGCACAUGGUGAGGUUGUCCUAUCCCUAUUUCUUGCGACUGUAGACAGACUUUUAAACCCCUGGAAUGAUGACACCCCUUUAAUCUCUCCUCUUGAAGUUAUAUAAGAAGUUGUUUAGAUAGUAAACUAUAAUAUGGUUUUUAAUCAUUGAUUAUCAUAUGUAACUUAAUAAUAUGUGAUUAAUGUCAAGUGCUCAGCUUACCAUACCACAGAUUUCAAGAAAACAAUAUAUUUAGUUUGCAAAUUGCAACUGAAUCAAACUUUUUCCAACUUUGGCUAUGUCUUCAGAUCCUCCACAUUGUAAGGGAUAAUUUUCAUCCCAUAUCAGCAAUACUAACUUUCACUUGGUACUAAACAAUCUAACGUAAUGUGCUAUCAACACAAAGCACAUAUCUGAAUUCUAGACACCCGACUACUAAAUGGGGUCUCAGGUAUGGAAUGAGCAAUUAUCUGAGUAACACUCAUGAUGAUUUCGGUCCUGUGACCCUUUGAGUACGGCCACUCCACACACACACAAAUAAAAAGGCUACCUGCACCAAAAUGAUGAUUCAUCGUAUUAACAUUUGAAAGUUAUCAUCUUUCCUUUUUCCCCAUCAAUGUUCAAGAAGAACUUACUAUCCCUACUUCAUGGGUAGAGGGACCGAAGGUGUAUACCAUACAGUAUCCCUUUGCAUGUGAUCCAAUUAAUUGAAAUUCAGAAAGCUGAAAUGUCACCUCUACCAUCAAUAGGUCUACAAAGUUAAUAUUUCCGCCCCUCGAACUCGUAACCUUCAGGUCAGCAAAGGAGCAACCUUGCAAUUGCACCAAGACUCUUUUUUUAUUUUAAAUAAUGGUAAUGUCGGGGUCAGUUUGCACAUACUUCAACAACCAUUACCCUAAGUAACAAGUACUUAACUAAACUUCAAAUUAUCAGAUACAAUUUCCUUUUGACAAUUGUGGUGUAUGGCCAGUAUGCGCACACCUCGACUAAUUCUAAGGUUACCUACUGCCUCCCCACAAGCACAAUUUCUUACACACAAUUCACAAUAUUGUUAAAACCCAACAAUUCACUGAAACAAACAAAACAACAAACAGUUCAUGUGCAUAUUACUAGACCAAAAAAGAAACAACCCCAACAACUAAAAACACAGAGAACACAACAAAAGGGUAGAGAAAUUACGAGCAACAGGUUGAAGGGCUGUCUUGAAAGGAACAGAAAGUGAAGCAGGAGAGCUCAAAUGGGUGCUUGAAAUCUUGAUGCCACUCAAUUGAGAAGUCACAAAACUCAACUCUGAGCUGAAUUUCACCUUGGGUAAAGCCCUUUUGGUCACUGCAAAUGUCCUGUAACCACCCACUACUGGUCCUCUGAGGCUUAUACCCGCUGUGAUUGUCGCCAUUUUUGCAACCAAUUCCUCAAAGCAAGAAUCUUUUUUGUCUCAAGAAUGUUGCUUUUUUUUUUGAAGAAGGAAGUGAAGAGUGGAUAACGAAAUGGAUGUGGGUAAUGAUUUUAUUUGUUGGCCUUCAUAUUUUUUUUUAUUGUUAUUAUAUAUUUAACUUAUUUUUUCCUUUAGUCUAAUAAUAUCAAACGAUUUAAAUAAAAGAAUAAAUAAAUAACAAAAUCUAACUUAUUUGGAAGUAAUAUGUUAUCAUAGUUAUGCUUUAAUUUUAUUUGCAUUACUUGUGUUAUCUUAGUUUAUGCUUUAAUCUUAUUUCCAUUACUUACUCACGUGGAAGUCUAAUAUCACAAACCAAACAAAGAGAGUAUUAAGCCUAUACCAAAAUCAAAUCAUUAUUAAGCCUAUACCAAAAUCAAAUCAUUAUAAUAUUAAGCGUUUUCUCCCUCUUCAGGUUCCACUUAUGAUAAACCAAACAAAUAGACCAAAAUCAAAUCAUUAUAAUAUUGAACGUCUCUACUAUCUUCAAAUCAAUCACACUAUGUUAUGAAUGUCCUUAUCUCUCUAACCAAACAACCCCUAAAAUCUGUUAUCCCAUCAACUGUCCAACUGAGUCAGUGACCAACAUCAUUUAGAACUACAAGCACAAGACAUUAAGGCAAAAUAAUAAGAAGGUAAAUAAAAGAUUUCAAGAAGCCAUAAGAUUGUGCUCCUGUAUAUUGUAAGUAGUAGGUAAACUGUUGCAACUUAAAAACAAAGUUCAUAAUUUUUAGAUGACAUAAUACAAUGGCUCAUUCCUUCAUCCCAUUCUACAUCUGGGAGAAAACAUGUAUUCCGCUUCAAAUCGGGUACGACUCUCGCACUAACAAAAGGGUUAACACCAAGGCAUCUCAAUAAUGGUAAAAAUUGCAAACAAACAUUCAGUUAAGCAUUGUGAAAUCCUAUGUUAACGUCGUUCAAGUUUGGGGAGAUCUGCAUAAGGUUUUGAAUGGGCCAAAAGAAAUUAGUUUUGUUUAGCAAACUUUGUCUGAUAGAGAUCAAGGGGAACAUACUCCACAGUCACUAUUCGGUCGUCAAACAGUCGUCCAUGUAGACAAUGAGCAGCCGUGCAUGCAGCUUCUGCUCUUCUAAACUCCACAAGUACACAGCCCGGAUCAAACACUUCAGUAAUAGGGAUUUCUUCCUUUUUCUCAAGUUCCUCUGGAGCAUCCAACUCUUCUUUCGAUGAGAAUUCUGGUUCAGAAGGUCUAUCGUCUACAUUUCCAUUGUCUUCCUCUGACUUAAUUGCUUCCUUAACUGGUGAGUCAUUGUUUAUCUCAAGAUGCUCCAGUGGACUGGGAUUAGCAUUUUCAUCUUUCCUUUCUGAAACCAUACCAGUACGGGUAACCUCGAGAUUUUCUUGGAAGAUUGUCUCUUGAGCAGAGACACUACUGUCAUCUGGUAGAGGGUCAGAGCUGUCGUCUUUUAUUAGCUCCUCAGAAGGUCUAUCAUCCGAAUGACUGCCACCAGCCAAAGCAUCGUCAUCCCCAGCCUUUUGAGAAUCAUCUUGUGAAGAUUCUGAUAUGUGUGUUUUACUAUCAGCACAUCUUUCAGCUUCCUUAUCACUAUUGGUUUCCAUGGGUUCAUCACUGUUGGGGAAGUGUGGCCUACCAACUUCCAACUCAUGAUCAUCACUGUUGGGGAUGUGUGACCCACCAACUUCCAACUCAUGAUGAUCACUGCUGGGGAAGUGUGGCCCACCAACUUCCAACUCGUGAUCAUCACUCCUAGUGAUCGGAUCAUUUUUGUCACACUCUUCCCCAAAGUCCAUAUUGCUAUCGUUCAAGGUAGAACUAGUAUCCAUAGCAGCAGGAUCAGAUAUGAGAGAACAUUGACUUUGCUUUACAACAUUAAUUGAUUUAAUAGCGCCAAACCUACAGAUCAAAAGAAAACCUUCCAGAUCAGUAAAUAAUUGACAAGGAGAAAAAAAAAAGAAUGACAUUAAGAAAUGCGACUUUUCAUAAAUGACCUGGCACACUCCAAUCUGAUGUCUUCCAGUAAUUCUUCAAGUUCUGCUUCAGACAAAAAACUGAGUACAUUUGCAUCCACCUGGACAGGACACGGUGAUUAGAGGAAAGACUUUAGUAACCCCUUGGUAAGUUUUUUGCAACAUCUAAGAAACAUAACCCCAAUAACAGAGUUUUUAACAAAGAACACCUCCAAAAUAUACCUCAAAGGUCAACUACAUCCUUAAUAUAUCACUGUUAGCAAGUAACAUUGGUAGAGUGUAUAAAAAUAAUGCUAAAUAGAGUGUAUUAGUAAUGCUUGCAUUAGCAAUACAUGUAUUAGUUAUGCUUGCAUUAGUUAUACAUAGAUUAUUUUUAUGCAUUGUUUGAUUUGAUGCAUAAAAAGAUAGCAUGCAUUGCAUAAAAAAAAAAUUAAGUUACAAAGAUACCCUCCACUAUUAUAGCAAAAAAGAUGUAAAAAGGUUUUGAGGGACAAUUGGGUCUUUAAUCAUGCUAAUGCAUGCAUUAAAACCAUUGCAUUGCUAAUACCUAGAAAUACAUGGCAUUAGCAAUACACACCUUAAUACACAGAGUGUAACUAAUGCAAGCAUUAGUUAUACGUAGGUUGAAAAAGAGUAUCAAACAAGGUACUAGUAAUACACAGGGCUAAUGCAUGCAUUAUUUUUCCUAAUACACGCUACCAAACGACCCCUUAAAGUAUCAAAAAGUUAACAAGUUCAGUUCAAAGGUAGUUUUCAUGUCUAAAACUAACAGUGAAGCCAAGCAUACACAUAUACUAGUGACGAAAAAAGAAACAAAAUUGAGAAAGAAAAAGUGGUCGUGAUCCCAUAGUCUUCUUCUUCUGCAAAUUAGGCGUCCCACCAAGCAUUAUUUUUCUCUAUACCCAGUGAAAUUCUUCAAGAGUUUGCACGUACUGGGUAUUCUUCAGUGUUGGCUUGCUGCAAGUGUACUCCCUAAGUAUUAAAUUGCAUUUCUUGGUGGGUUUGGUUUUAACCUAGCCCAAGUUUAUUGAUUUCACAGGUUAUAAACCAAAUCAGUCACGGGGAAAAAGAAGACCAAACCAGGUAAGAUGUCUUUGUUUUAAUAUUUCAAAAGUUGUCCAAUUCCUCAUUAACAAAAAGAAAAUUUCUCGUAUCUUGAGGCAGAAACUUUAAAAGAGUACAGAAUAAUAUGAAACAAACUAUUGAACUCUAUAGACAAAGUGCAGUGCCUCUCUUUGCUUUCGAGUGCCUGGUUAUCUUCAAAAAUACAUUCCCUUUGUUAAAUAACGAAGUUCAGAGAAUAUACAAAGCAGGUUUUUGCCUAAUUCUAAAUUCCAAGCCAACACUUAUUAUAUUUUUCUUUGUUUUUCACCCAAAACAGAACCUCUUAAACAAGCCUUAAUAUUGAUUUGGAAGGAUGAUCAAAGGUAAGAAAAGUUGAACAUGGAGUUGAAAAAAACAACAGAUUUGCAUAUAGGCAACCGACCGACGUAUACAAACUAAAAAAAUAAGCAACUAAAAAAGCUAGUGGGUUGACGAAUCCAAAGCAACUUGGGGACGAAACAACAAUGUGUUUCAUGAAUCCAAGCUUCUUGACUUUUUUUUGGGUAACGUGUAAUGCGUUUGCUUGGCUUUUCACUGUUAGUUUAGACAAAACACUAACUUUGCACUAAACAUGUUUACUUUAUGAUGCAUUAAGGAUGUUGCUUGUUAAUCAAUGUCAUAUUAAGGAUGUAGUUGACCUUUGGGGCAUAAUCCAAGGAUUUUUAUCAUUAAAAACUCUAGAAAACAACCACGCAUCAGACCCAAGCAAGUUGGGCUCAACUAUCUGAAUAUUAUAAAAGUUUAAGCUCCUCUAGUACAAUAUUAUAAAGUAGAAUUUCUCUAGCACUAGAGAUUCUCUACAAUUUCUACUAGCAUCUACAUUUUUUACUGGCAUAACAAGCAGAAUAUUUAUUUGAUGAAAAUGAACUUGACGUCACAAAAAUAAUGAAUACAUACCACAUUUUUCAGCUUUAGAACUUCCGUGUGCUUCUCCAACAGUGGCUUUGCAUGCUGCGGAAUCCGGUAUAAAGGUGUAUUUUCAUCUUUGUCCUGAGUAUUAUGUGUAUCUUUUGGUCAAACUCAAAGAUUAAAAAAUGUACCUAAAGCCAAAGUAAUCAGGAUAAGAGGACUUGAGAUAAGUACCAGUAAAGCAGUAUCUGGGACAGCCCGAACAACAGUCAACACUUUCCCACCCAACUUCAUACCAUUAAGACCAGCGCAAGCUUUAAGAGUAACUGAAUGGUCAACAUACUGAAAUGGUUGAAAUAAUUACUUUAAGAUCAAUGAAAGACGCAAGAGGAACUUGAACUUAAAGAAGACUUGAGAGUUCAGCACUUGAUUCAUGGAGAAAUACAAGGGACCGAGAGGCUCAUUAUGUAACAAACAAAGGUAUCUAGCUGAUAAGUUUACUGUUGAAGCGAUAGUGUCGCAUAAUCUAAAGCAUGGUAAAAAACUAUUAUAAAAGGAAUACUCUACCUGCGAAGAAAAUUAAGUCAAGCAUAUGUGAAACUUAAGUGUGGCAAGCUACUUUUGGCACUAAAGAGUUCCACUGGAGAAUUGACACAAUCACCAGUACAAACAGGGUUAUUUAUUCUCAACCAUUAAAAGGGAUGAAGAGGGCUUGCGAAAUGCUCUGCAGAUCAUUGAGAAGGAAGGAUAUUAAAGAGUUUGAAGGCUAGAAAAUCUAAUAUGAAUAGUUAAGAGCUCCUCUUCCUUCUGAUUUAUUUCCAUCUGAAAGAUGAUAUCUUUUUGGUAUUGGCUCACAUUAAUAGAAUUGAUGUGGAAGCUCACAUAAGGAUCUGAAGCAGUAUUGGUUGUUCUAGAGCAAUCAUUUGACAAAUGUGUAGAGUUUUGGCAUGUCUUUCUAAAAAGAAACGUUUACUUGUCCUACCUUAGAGAAGCAAAGUAGUAGAAUGAGAAGAUAAAAUUUACAACACAAAAAGAGUUCCAAGAGGACAGAAAGCCGCUGCCUGAAAAAAAUGAUAAUAGUGCCUUUUUAAGGUAUAUUUUAUUAUUAAAAUAAAGGUAAAGUUUUGUCAAUACAUAGUAGUAAGAAGGUGCAUGAUACAUCCCCUUUCUAAGCCAAGCACACAACCACAUCGUCUAUCAAGCCAACAGGUACAAAGUCAUAAACAAUCUUUCCUUGGACAAUUUCUACAAUGAUUUGCAUACAUGUCUAUGAUUCAACUUUAUCUCUCCCAUGCUCUUUACAUGCUUAAAGUGGUAAAUCUAUUUGUUUGGCGCGACGGACCAACUCUGUUUUAAACAUGUAAAAAUAAAUACUUUUUCUUCAUUCACCCUUCAACCCAGAAAAGAUUGUUGAAGAGGAAAAUGAUUUAACUUCUAGUAAAACGACAAUUUGCUCAUUUUUUCUACACUUGGUACUUCCAGUAAUUCACUAGACUGAAAAAUAAUCUUAGCCAGCAAAAUACAAUAUGUUUAAGACUGUUUGUUGCAUAAAAGCUACCUUUGAACCAGAAGGAAAGUGCAUUUCUGUAAAGAAAAGGAUGCUUCAUUUAAUAUGAGAAAGGUAUAUACUAUAAUCCAAGAGUACCUCAAGAAAUGCACAAGGUUCAUUGAGAUCUGAAUUCAUCCUGAAAUGGUAAGCUUUCAAAGGUCCAAAGGCUUUAGCAAUCUCCAUAAGCUGAAAUAGCAUCAGGUAAGAUACAAAUCACAAGAGAGUGUGAUAUUCCAUUGUUCCUUCUUUUUAAUUAAGGAAAGGUUUCAAGACAUUUUUCAGUCUUACCAUCUCUGAUGAAAUAGUUCUUGAAAUUCCACCAACAAAAAUCUGCAAGACAUAUUAAACAAAAGUGUUAUGUAAGGGGAAAGGGAACCACAGGACUGGAACGGACUUGAAAUAUAUGGGAAACAUUAUAUAGAAGCAUUCGAUGACAAACAGACAACAAGUGAAAUACUGUAUGAUCAGAUUCCAAAGAAGUCCUUGUGGAAGCCAAAUUAAAAAAAAAAACAUAUUCUGAAGGUCACAAAUGUGACUCGUCAGGGAGUUAAGGCAACACCAACAAAGAAGAAAAGCAAUUCAUAUGUGACGUCCUCACAAUCCCACAGGUUCAAAUGAGGAAUUCUGUAUCUCAUCUUAACAGUGAGGGAACAUUCAUACAUCAACAUCUAAAGAAAAUCGAAAACAUACAUCAUAAUCCGUAACCUCACUGUCCAACAUAUAAUUGACCUACAUGAAUUCAUGUAUUGCAGUAGCGUAGAGCAGCUGUUGAUGAGUUUACUCGACAGAUGGAACAUUGCUUUCUGUGUAUACGAGUACAUACAUAAAAGUGCAGCACAUGAAGAAAUUAUAGGUCUCAAUUCUCAAAUAUGUUGUCCUAUUUCAAUCAGAUCAAGUGUUGAUAUUAGUUAUUACGCCAAGCUGCUGCCAUAUUUACAUCUUUUUCAUACUACAUUUUAAAAUCAUCUUGAGAAACUGUUUCUUAUUUAUGCUACCCAAAAAAAAAAUGCAAACAAAAGAAAACACAAUUAAGGCUAUUAGCUCCCCUCAAAAGUACUCCCAUUCCUUUCUCAAACUAAAAGCUAAAAUACAUGUAACAUUUUAAAAUACCUAAGAAGUUCUUUUACAACUAUAAUAAACAGAGCUCAAACUCUUGAACGGAAAUUCUAAAUAUUCAGUAAAGCAACUUUUCAACUUUUAAGAAGUCCUGCUAAAUCUGAUUAGACUGAAUUAACUGAAACGGACAAGACAGGUACUUCUAGCAAGAAUAAAUAGGAGAUUUGUACUUUAUCACAAGAAGUAAAGAUUGAUGGAUAUUGCAAGUACAAGGACAACACAUACAAGUGACUGUUGCAUCCAGUUCUGACAGGCAGGACUGAAGGUCAAUCUCAAAUCAUUUGUGUUGUUUCAGAUGCAUACCUUAUAAGAAGAAUCCUCUACAGUGUUAUCUAUCCUAUCAGCAGCAGCGACUGACUUCUGAGGAACACCAGUCUGCACGAAAAUAGCAACUGUCUGAAAACCUGCUACAUGAAUAAUGACCACAGUAUACCUCAGAAACUGAAUACAAGAGCAGAAUAAAUCACAGUUUCAACAUAAAGAGGUAGCACCACCUUCCUACGGCUUAAAUACACAUUUUAAUGCAUUGUCAAAUUGUAGAAAAUACAGAGCAACAAAUGUUCUACAUUAACGAAACUCCCCUACCAUAAUGUCCAUACUUUACUAUUUUACUUCAUUUGAUAUAAUUCAACUAUAUUCUCCCUCCAUAUAUGCAGUGAAAUCCACCGUCCUCAUUAGCAAGCACCAUCGUCAUCCUCCAACAUCCAAUUAAACAGAUGAUCAAGUGAGUUAGCAUCCUUUGUGCUGAGAUAUGAGCUAAAGGGUAUUGAGGGUACUAUAAGAGAAGAUCAGAAGGACUUCAUAUUAAUACAUCCUAAACAUAGGAUAUACCAAAAUCUCGGUGCCUAUAUUGUUGCUAACAACAACUAAGGGACUCUAUGAAAUUUGUAUCAAGUCAGAGGUUAUCUUCCACACUGAACAGUCCUUCAAGCAUUGAGGACAAGUCCAACCUCUCCAUGCAUCCUACUCAUUGACUACAUAAAGAUCUUGACUUCUAUUUCUGAUAAAGAUGGACAACUUGAUUUUUACCUGCAAGAACACAUUUUACUGGGGACUUCUGUUUGUUGCCUGUCUAUUUAAUCUUUAAUCAUAGGUCAAGAAUGGAUUUAGAGUAAUCUGUAUUAAGGGGGAAAGAGCAGCUAAGACAGUCAUACUUAGCAUCCCUUCCACAACAAAAGACAAAAUUCAUACAACAAUCAAACUCCAAAAGGCAUAUAUAGAACGGAAGGAAAGGCAGAAGAAAAUCAGAUUCAUUUUAACUAAGAACACAAUCUUUUUAACCCACGACAAUCCUUAUUUGUACCCCCACUUAGACCUGCUCAUUAAGAUGAUAAAAUAAGCACACCACUCAUUUCAUAUGAAGGGGUGCUUCGGUUUAAAAUGUGUAUCGUUUUUCACAUCCUCGUAUGAAGAUUACAAUUGAAAGAAAAAAAAAUUGUUUCCUCCCUUUAUCUAAGGGUUUUCAAGAAAAUUAGUAACCAUGACCAAACUUUCUUCAGCAAUGUCUAUAUCAGUGGACACCAGAAUAUACUGAUUGUUACAUAUAAUGAUGAAUACCGGAAUUUACUCAUUGUUACAUAUAAUGAUCAAUAAGAAUUGGCAUCAAAACUUCAAUUCAAGCCGCUUUUAGCACAAAACUGACAACCAAAUCUUAACUCAAACCUCUUUGACCCAAUUCAAUUUUGGCCCUAGUGGUAUCCAGUACUUUCCUUUUUGGAAUCACUUUGAACCUGCACAGAUUUUAACCCAACUACCCAAACGAUAAUGAGGACACUUCUUAACCGACACUGAAAUAUAGAUAAACUGCGUAUUGCAUAACUAUAACAUGUUACAUAAGUUAAUAUGCAAAAUCCCAUCAACUUCUCACACAUUUAAUACAAUAAUAGUAAGAGAAGAGCAAAAAAAGUUCAGUCUGAAAGAUAAGCACAAUCUACAAAGAGUCUCAUAGUUAUAAUUCUUACAGCCACUUCCACGAAGUCUUUUGGGCGUCUGAUUUUAAGAAUAGAACCAGAGAAAGAUCUUCCAUCAAAAGAUAGUGCAGCAGAAGCAUCUUCGGGCGUUAAAAAUUCUAAAAGAGCUUGACACUUCUCCUUGUGUAUCUGCAGUGUAGAAACAGUAAGCAACAGAAAUCUCCAUCCGGCUUAGAACAAGAAUAGAAGAAGAAAACAUACCAUACAGCUGAUACAUGGUUGGGUUCCUUGAAUGCGAUUAACUCCUGAAGACAUCAAGAAAUUAUUAAUCCAGUCCAGAAUCUCUUUCUCAGAGGCAGAGUUUGGCAAGUUCUCUACAUAAAGCCUUCUCAUAGGUCGUGUGGCUUGUGUCAGCUGGACGGAAUCAAUUGCAUGUACAGAUGACGUUAAGUAACUAUAUGAAACACCGGCGGCCAUUGUUGUGUAUGAACUAGCAGGAAUCAUGCUAGAGAACUGGUGUGUAUUUGGUAUUACAGGCUGCAUUGAAGACUUAACACUAGAAGGAACAGAACCAGUAACACUGAUACCACCUGAUGCAGGCGGUAGAUCCCACCAAGCAGCUUUUCGUUCUGGAGAGCGGUUAGUUGGGGGAGGAGUUUUAGCAGCAGCCUCUGAUUUCCUCUUUCUUGGUGAAUAACCACCAAGACCACUUGUAGAUCCUUCAUGGCGGUUGGAAUGGCUAUCUGAACCAUUGCUGGAUAUCUUUUUAUCCAGAUCAUAAUGUGAUCUUCCAGAUUUAUCUUUGGAAGAAUGAGAGGAAAACUCACCACGCUCUCUGAGAUCAUGAUCUGAAUGCUUACGUCCUCUCGGUGAACCAGAACGAGACCUUCUACCCCGAUCUCUAUCAUUCUCUCGACUUCUUGACCUUCUUCUCUUUGGUCUUUCUUCCUCUAGAUGAGCCCGAGAAGCUUCCACUCUUCCAGUGAUUUCAGAAACUUUCACUGAACUGUGUUUUUUAUCGGCAUUCUUCUCUCUAUUUCUCUCCUCCUCAUCACUUUUCCUUCUAACUGAUUCAGACUUUUCUUUAGUUCUGUCAGCAUAACUAUCUCUCCGCCCGUGAUUUCUUAAAUGCCUUUUCUCAGCCUCAUUCAGAAGAGCACCGUUUCUCUCCUCUUCAUCACUUCGGUGCUUCCUUCUACCUGAUUCAGACUUUUCUUUAGUUCUGUCAGCAUAACUAUCAAUCCGUCCAUGAUUUCUUGAAUGCCUUCUAUCAGCCUCAUUCAGAAGAGCAUCAUUUCUCUCCUCAUCAUCAUUUUGGUGCUUCCUUCUUCUUGAUUCAGACUUUUCUUUGGUUCUGUCAGCAUAACUAUCUAUCCGUCCAUGAUUUCUUGAAUGCCUUUUCUCAGCCUCAUUCAGAAGAGAAUCAUUUGACAUUUCCAUAUCUUUCCUCUUCCUGUAUGACUGUCUCUCCUCCUUAUCAGGAAUUUUGUCUUUUCUUCCCUCUCUGUGUCUACCAUCAGUCUUGUCUGCCGAUUUCUCCUUCCUGGUCAAAUCUCUUGAACGUCUUUUACCAGUUUCAUUUCCAGAAUCAUCAAUAAGAUCCUGAUCUUUUCUUCUAAUGACAGGACAAUCUUUAUCAGUGUUGCUACCCGCUAGUCUCUUAUUGCUUACAUCUUUAUUCACUGACGUCUUCAAUUUGAUUUCAGAUUCUCUACUUUCCCUGUGUUUAUCCCUAGCAUAUUUAUCAGCCAUCAUAUUAGCCUCGGUUGGAUUUGGCCCUAACUUCCUAGAAUUCUCUGAAUUAUGCCUGGAAACACUAGGUAAUGAUUCAUAGCGAUGUCGCUCAGGUUCCAAACGAUCAGUGGUUUUCUUAGGCCUGUCUUCUUUAUGUGAUACAUCGUCAACUCCUAUAAAAUUGUUCUUAAUGUCCCUUUCCUCUGCUUUACUUUUCCUUCUAAGCAUAAUUUCAUCAAAGCUGAGAGGUCUUGUCCUAGCUGAUGUACCAUCACUACUGUCACCCUUUGAUGAAUUAUGUUUACCAUUCUUAACUUUUUGUCGACUGGAUCCCAUAAUACUAACCUCCAAGAAGCUAUCAAUCUUUCAAUCAACUCCUCAGCAUAUGGGACACAGAAGGAUAUGUAACCACCUGACUAGAUGCAGUAGUCAGAGACUCAUGAUCAUGCAUCCAAUCGAAACAUAUUCAAAGGACGAAAAAAUAGCUGCAUGCAAGGAAAACAUAUUCAUCAUACCUUCUAGGUAAUUAGCCAUGCAUCUAGUUGUAAGAAACAGUAGAGUCAUGGGUGCUCAUUUUUUUUACAGUAAAGUUGUUAGACAAGAAGGGCUUCUUUCUUGAAGCUUACUAAUAUUUCUAUAGUUUAGUUAGUAAAUGAAAUACGAAAAAAAAAAGUGAAAAUCAAUAAAGAAAAUAUUAGUAAACAGCAGUGAAAAGGUAAAAAAAGAAGAGUAAAAAUGUUAAUAAAAGCUUCAGUUUGCUUUUCCCAAUCAAAAAGAUAUGUUGUUUAACAAGAUUCAAACUCUCUCUACAGGGCAUCAGCAUACUCAAACUUCAGCUUCAGCCAAAGCACCCAGCAGACCUUUAAGUUUAUGGAUGCUCACGAAUAGGUUACAAUCAAUUUUCCAAUAUUUUCUAUAUACAUAUGCAAAGAGAAAACAAAUCUGAAAGAAACGUUAGGUCACAAUAAAUGCUUAGUUUUCUUUUUCGACAACCAAUAAAUUCUUAGUGGUAACCAGUACACCUAGACUAAACAUGUAAGCAUCCAGGUGUCCUGCUUUUACCUUAGGUUAUCCGUUAUAGUGUCAUUCAACUUUCAACAUAUACAACUUAUGUUUAUUUAUAAGAAUGUGUUCUGACAUAUUCUAGUUUCUUUUUCUUUUUUUUUUGAAACUGAAAUCUAGUUUCUAGUUAUGGUACACUACUUUUAACCUCUUGUAAUUGGCAUCUCUUUAAAGCCAAACAACAUCCCAUGUAGAUAACAAUCCUCAAAGCUGAAACUCUGAUUUUUUAUUUUCCGUACUUGAACCAUAAUUUUUAUGAAAAAGAUGGAAGCUUUCAGAAAUGAAGAAAAUUUUCUCUUCUUUUUCCUUUUCCAGGAGUUCAGAAGGUCGAGUGCAAUAUUGAGAGCCUGAGCUUGCAAGAACUGCACAUACUUCAGAAAAAUCAUUGAAAAAUACCAAGACAUCCAAGCUAAUAUCUCAAAUAUAAUCACCACUCUGAGCAAUGAACUAUGUGUCACUUCAUUCACAAGACGACCUAGCAUAAAUGAGUAACUAAGUAACCAAUCUACCCAAGCAAAGAAUUGAGCUACUGCACCAUUUUAACAUAUCCUUAGUCAUUCCCUCCUAAACAGAACUCCGCCUACGUGCACAUUGCUGAUGCCAACACCCAAUCAAACACAGAGGUGAUACCUAGCUCAAACCAAGAUAAUUUACAAUGAAUCUCAAAAUAUCCCCACCUUACUUACAUUUUUAAAAAUCCACAAAUUUCACUCACAACUAUACAAUUCUGCAAUGUAACACAGCCAAUUCAAACUUCUAUAAAAAUCCUCACCAGUAAAAUUUUUUUUAAAAAAAAAUCAAAUGUCAAAUGAAAUAUAAAAUUGCAAAAUGAUAAACCUUUAUAGGGAAAUUCCAAUCGUUUAUGCCAAAGAAAUCAAAAAAAAAAAACUUUUAUCUAACUUAACACAAAUGAAAUUAUCGUCUGCUUAUCCGCAAUGUACAAUGAGAAAUUUAUCGGCAUAUGAGUAACGAGCAACGUGCAAUAACAGAGAGGGCUAAUUUUAAGUAGAUAAAGCAGCUAAAAGUAUUGAGCAAGAAGUUAGCUUACCGUAGAUUCGAACGGACGGUGUGCUAACUCGCCGGAGAAUCGCCGGAAAAGUAUGGAAAAAACCCGAUAAAAGUGGUUCCGGGGAUUAUCGAUUGGGUUGAAUGUCAGUGUAAAAAGCGUAGGAAGAAGAAAAACCUAGACAUGCUAAGAUAUUAUGCAUAUUUAUGUUUCCAAUUAUACCCCUAUAAUCACUUUUAAUAUUUAUUUAUUUUUGGAAAAAAUGACAAAUAUAGUCCGAACUAUCGUAAAUGAUAUGCGCAUGCCCUUCGUCAUACUUUAAGGAUAUUGGUGUUUGUGCCAUCUAAAAACUAUACUAACGGACAUACACGUGUUAUAAUCUUACUCAUUGACCUGAUAUCUGAUCGAUGGAUUAGAUUGUGUCACGUGAACCUACUUAAUCUCCUGUUAGACCGAAGGACAUAUACGCUCUAGUUUUGGACGAUAGGGGCACCAAUGUCCCGAAAGUAUAACAAAGGGUAUGUGCAUCCCAUUUUAUGAUAGUUCGGACGUAUAUUUGUCCUUUUUCCCUAUUUUUAAAUACAAUUUAACAAAUUAAAAGAAAAUAAUUUUUUUAUAUAUAUAUUUUUUACUCUUAUUAUUAAUCAAGAUUUAUAUUCCACUAAUAUGGAUAACUAUGAUAAGAUUUAUUAGAUUAUAGUGUAAUUAAAACAAAACGCUCAUUUGUUUAUGUAUUUGUUGAGAUUAGAAAUUUUCUCGUGAUUAUUGUUUCAAUUUCGUUUUUUCCUGAACGAGUUUUUUAGACCUACGUAAAUGAGUAAAGAGAAGUAAAAUUGAUUGUUCAUCCAUCAAACACAUGCCUACCAACAACAUAUCCACUAAAAUCUCAUAAAAUAGAGAUGAGGUCGAGAACAGUUAGGAUAUACGUAGAUCUUGUCCUUACUAGAAAAGUUAUUUUCGAAGGAUAGAAAGUAAAAUAACGACAAAAAGAUAGCAAGAUAAACAAAGGAAUCGAAGUAAUAGAUAGUAGUAAAAAAAAAUGAAUAAGAUACUAUCGAGGCAAGACUACUAAAUAAAGAGAAAGAUGAGAAGAGGAGACUAUUAUAUAUACCUGUUGAACAUAUAUAUAUUGGCAACUGAAGAACAUACUUAUACAUUAUCAAAUCUUGGCAACUCAGAAAUACAUAUACAAAUACAAAUACCAUAUUGAAACUCGACUAACGAGUGAGUAUUAUUGAACCAGUCUGAAACAUAGACGAGUGAAAAAAGAAGACAAGUACAUAAUCAGACUAUAAAGAGCAACAGUUUGCAACAGAGAUGCUUAUAGUAACUAUGCUUAUUCCUUUCGCAUCAACCUUGACACCAUAUGCUCAGUUUUCUGCCAAAAGAAGAAAAGGCAUUAGCAAAUUGGUAUCACUCACUGUGCUAUAGAACAAAGCUAUGGAAUUCAAGCAAAAGAGCCGAUGUGACUGUUUUAAGCAGUGACUUGUGCAUACAAAAUCUAUUCAUAUGAUCCCAAAGCCACACAUUAUAAAUCCCAUCGUUAAAGAUAGCAGAAAACGGUUUAUUUCUGGUUCUGUUGGGAAAUAUAUCCCAACAGAUGCACAGAAACAACCAUCUAGCCCACAUACAAACCAAGGACAUGUGUCCUAGCUCAAGAACUCGGAAGUUCAGAUCUUGUCUUAUUUUCCUGAUCAGUUCAACUUUAGAUAAAAAUCAGAGUUCACAGACAUGGUUAUAGACGUAGUAAGAGUUGAUUCUAUAAGCACACAUGCAUUAACACACCUUAAUUAUAAACUUACAAGGCCCCACACAGUUGCUUAAACAGAUUAUCCCUUCAGUCUUGCAAUAUUUUACACCACACACCUUGCUUUUGUAUGAAAGUUGAGUUCAAGCACGAAGAUUUUAACUGUUAUUUUGCAAGAUAAGUUGAUAGGAAAUUUAAUUUGGCUUUGUCACAUUUGAUUGAUGAUAUCUGAUUUACGUAAACAUAUAUGAUAUCGUGUAAGUACCAUCUAUGAAAUGCUAAAACUAGGAAAAAAGAUGUGAAUGGAAGCAUUAUUUACUGAUUGUUGGAGCAACGAGCUCUCUGAUUACUUAACUAAAAUACAAAUACAAGACGCUCAGAGUUGAAAUCAUGCACCAGUUUGCUUGGCUCACACAGGAUGUGCACAAGGGUACGGAAGCCUUUAAUAUCAGACCUUACAAAUAAAAAAUCAGAAUCCUCUAUUUUGUUGCACCUAGCGGGUGGGGAGUGUGUGUGGAGAAGGAAGGACGAUUGUGACGAAGACCUAGCGGUCAGUCAUCUUUAUGGACAAUAAUUUGGAGAACAAACUUUACAAUUAUGAAAUGUAAAAAAGGAAACUAACCUGUUCAGUGUGUGGCAGAUACUUUCCAUCAAAAGUCAAGACAACACGAUCCUUUCCAUCCACACCUUUGAUUUUAUCAACUGAGCAGAAAAAGUCUAUAGCUGACAUGCUAAACAUUGAGUCGAAAGUUAAAUCUGACAUAUCAUCCCAGUACAAGUAUAUCAUGUGCAGGAAGCAAGUGAAAAACAACUAACAGUAACAUAAACUUGCAUUAAACACUCGCAUAUAAACUUGCAUGGCUCAUAACAUCCUCUGCUGUUUUUCUUUCUUUUUUUUUUUAUAAAAGAAAUAUGUGAAGACCCCUCUGCUCUUUUUUUUUUAAAUAGAUCCGAAGGUGGUGGUGCCAGCCAAUUAUAAUCUGUACAAUGUACAGAACAUGUGUGCAGCCGCGACAAAAUAGUUCAUGCUAGUUGUAUAAACAAUCUAAUAUGCAGAGAGGUUGUGUGAUUCACCAGACAAGAGAAAGUCACUAUAUAGAAUCACAGGAUUAUAAUAGGAUAAUGGAUGAGACUACACUAAGUCACUAAGUGCAUCGGGUUGAUAAUUAACAAAGACAUAGUGGACGAGCCGGAAACACUUGACUAUCACUUACCUUUGAAAUUGUAGUUAGAAUUUUUUUUUCCUACUAUUUAUCUAUUAAAAAAAUCGGAAUGAGAUGGGAUUAGAGAGCUUGGGUUUGCGAACGAGAAAGCAUAGACAGACGAGUGAGUGCUAGAGGGCAGGUAAUAUGGCUUAAUCCUAAGGAAUACCAAUAUCAUUCCUAAUUCCCUUAGAAAAAAGCACUAAACAAACAACAGAUAAUGAAGAAGGGGUUAUAAUCCCCCUGCUAUAGAUCAUUUAUACAGUGAUCAAACAACACUAUAGCAUAGCAGCUUGUUGACUCUAAACACACUGUGCAUGCUCUAGUUCAUCUUCAAAAGACUUCUUAUGAAUCAUGCUUGCACCAAACCCGAGAUAAACUUAUGCAAUUCAGAGUAGUUAACCAUCAGAGGCAAUUCAUUAAGGUUCACAAGAUCCAGAACUCCUGAAGUUUAAAGGCAGAGAGCAUUUCCAGAGUAUGAAUCUAAGUUCUAAACACAUGCAGAGACCCACAUAUAAGAGAAGAUUAUAUCUUUCACCACAAUAUUUUUUGAAUCAAUAAAAUAAGGACAAGUAUUUAAUAUGUAUGCUAACUGGAGUGACUUACAUGCCAUCGCCAAAUUCUUCAUUAACAAUUUCCUUGAUACUCUCACCAAAGUGCAUGACAGCCUCAUUCAAUCUGUUGAAGGAACACAAUAAUCAAAUUAUGUAUGAAAUGCAACAACACAAAGUUUUCCGAAAAGCUUUGCCCAAUAGAUCUGGCUUACAGCUUCACAACUUAAGCGCUACUAUAUGCUUUUACCUAAAUUAUCUAAGGAUUUCACAGGAACAGUAAAAAUGGUAAGCUAGAAGCUCUUCCACAUUCUGUUUCUUCUGUGUUUUCUUGUGCCUUAGUAUCUACACUAACAACACUUUAUGUGAUUCUGGUAAAGGCAGAUUAGGGUUUAAAGACAGUGGUAACACCAAUUAACAUAUAUACUAACUUUGUACAUUUUAAGAAAAGAUGUAUAGCGCGGGCACAAAAUUUCGAGUGUACAUGCACCAGUGCUUAUAUUUUCAAUCCACUUCUGGCUACUAGACAUGACGACAUGUAAAUGUUAUACAACAAUGUUUUACUUUCUAACUAGGAGCACAACUUUCCUCCAGUCUCUACAUAAGAAUUUCCAAUUUCCUGAAUCCCGCAUCUUCCUCUAGUUAUAUCAACUACUGCACACUAUAGCAAGAUCAAAGAUUUUCAGAAAAUGAACAAUAAAGACAUAAUGAAGUGGACCACUUUAUAGAAUGGUUUGUCGAAUCAAGUUAAUAGGUAUUUCCAAUAUUUUGAACCCCAUUCUAGUUGUAUCAACUACCAUAUACCACAACAAGAUCAAAACUUUUCAGCAACAAAAGCAAAAAUUCUAGAAAAGGAUCAAGUGUUCACCUCUAGAAUCAAGAUAUCAAGAAUUUCCAGUUUUUCCAAUUGCACAUCUUUUUCUAGCUCUAUCAACUACUACCAUACACCAUAAAGAUCAAAUUUUUAUAUAAAAAAUCAAGAAAUGGGUGAAGUGGUCAUCUAUAAAUACUGAGGUCUUGAAUCAACUGCUAUUCCACUAUCCACAUCUUCCUCUAGCUCUAUCAACUACCAAACACCAUAAAGAUCAAAUCUUUACAUAAUAAAUAAAUAUAUAAACCAAAAAAAUAAGUGAAAUAGUCACCUAUAAAAUAGUGAGUCUUGAAUCAACUUAAUAAAAAUCUCCAAUUUUUCCGAUUCCACUAUCCACAUCUUGUUGAAGAGUCACACAGUGGAUAAUAAAGGAUGAGUACUUCCCUACCAACUAACUUUUGGGAUUGAGUUAGACACAAAGAUUCAUUUCUUUACAUGAUAUCACAGCACGACUCAUACCAAUUGUUGUUCACUAAAUGUCUAGCCUGGGCGUAACGGGGAUGUUGAAGCGUACCACAUCCAAUAAAAAAAGAUGGAUAGUCUCCCCUCGUAAGUUAGCUUUUCGGGUUGAGCUAGACCCUAAGAUUCAUUCUUUUUUCACACCUCUUUCUCUAGCCCUAUCGACUACCAUACACCAUAAAGAUCAAAUCUUUACAUUAAAAAAUCAAAAAUCAAGAAAUGGGUAAAGUGGGUCACCUGUAAACAGUUGGGUCUUGAAUCAAGUUGGGGUCAUAAGACCUCAAAGGUGCCUCCAUCAUUUGAUGAAUUUGUUGAUCAGAUAAAAGCGGAAGUGCAGCCUUCAGCUUUGGUGCAGUUUCAGGUUUAAGCUGAGCUUGACGUCUUAGCAACUGAGCCACAUAGACAUUUGUGAGACCAGUUUCUUCAGCUAUUUGACUAAACGUCUUGCCAGAUUUUUGUUUCACUGACAUAAGAGAUGCCACCAUGUUUGCCUUGUUCUCCAUUACUGCUUUUGCUUACUGCAAAGAAGAAGAAGAGUGAUUUUGGAUAUAUAUAUAUAUAUAUAUAUAUAUAGUAAGAGAAGAUGAUUGUAUUUUUGCUUUUUUAGGGGCCCAAUUAUCCACUUUGAUAAGUCCAAUUUGGUUAGAAAUUUUGAAUGGAAGAAGAAGAAGGGCUGCUAAUUUUGAGUUUUGCCUCUUUGACUGCUAAUGGGAUAUUUAGUAGAUAUUAAAAAAUUAUAAAAAAGUGAAAUAAAAUAAUUUAGCUAUUUAAUCAUAAUAAACUGACAUAUUUUGAUAUGUGCAUUGAAGAAAAUCAGGCAUGCCAAUGAAUAGGUGCGUAUAAACUCUAUUUCUUGCUUUUUUUUUUACUAAACAUGUUGUUGAAUUUAUAUUUUUGUAAGCACAAAGAAGUGUUUGGUAUAUGAGAUAAUAAUAAUAAUAAUUACGAAAUAAAAUUUAAGAUUAGCUUUAUUUCACAUCUAAUAUGAUGUAUUAUCUAAUUUAAAAAUAUUUGUUAUCGCAUAAUAAAGGGUAGGAUGCAAUAAUUCUACGAAUAUUCUUGCUUAUCUAAAAAUUUAUUGGGGAUAACUAGGGAAUCAUUAGUUACUAAUUUGAACUUGUUGGAAGUCUGUUGUUGUAAAUGUAUGCAAUGUGUUUGCUAAAAUGCCUAAAUGAGUUUUAGAACAAGAAAACAUUUUUUUUUGUUAUUAGUUUCUUUGCUUCAUAGUGAACAAGGUAUUCGUAGAUUGGGUUAGUUACCAAUUUUCUUCUUCUUUGUAUUUGGAUUUACUGCAUUUGAGCCGAAGGUCUUUCUGAAACAGUCUCUAUCCCUCCACGAGGUACUGAUAAUGUUUAUGUACACUCUACUUCUCCCCUCCCUAGGGGAAAGUUGUUAAUUACAAAAAUUUUGGGAAGUUGGACUGGCUAUUUCUGGAUGUAGUUUGUGAAUUGUAAUACUUGCUUUAUUGGAUACCGCAUACUCUUGGAAAAUGUUGCUUCUAAAGCGUGGAUGCUAUUGUUUAUUUGUGUUUUGAAUUGUCGUUUAUCAUUCACAGAUCUUGUUGGCUUAUUGCUUUUCAGUGCCAGGUCGAGUCAGCUACAUUAGCGAAAAUGUGUAGACAAUACCAGCCAACUUUCACUACAAGAACUUGUAUGACACUUGCAGUUAGGAUAUACAGGUAUGAUGAAUCUUUAUCAGCCAAAACGAAGAUAAUAGAGGGGAUGAAUGAUUUUUGCUUUUUUAGGGACCCAAUUAUCCACUUGCCAUGUCCAUUUUGUUUAGAAAUUUCGAAUAAGAGAAGAAGGGCUGCUAAUUUUUGAAUUUGGCCUCUUGACUGCUAUUUGGACAUUUUAACAGUCCUGCUGCUCUUCUCCUUGGAAAAAUAUGUGUUGAUAUUCUUCCAUUAUUAUUAAUAAUAAUAUGCAUGACUUUAAUAGUAACCUGUCCAUUACUUAUCAACUCAAUGUACUUUGAUCUGUAGGAUAACGAGGAUUAGUAGGAGCUAGCUUUAGGGAUAGAAUCGAAGAAUUUAACACCUCUAAGUCAUGGUUCAUUAAUGUGAAAACGUAAAUCCUAACUUUCUAAUCAUCAUUUAAUCUUAAUAAACUGAAGUAAUUUGAUGUGUGCAUUGAAGAAAAUUAGACAAGCCUAUCAAUAGGUGAGUAUAAAAUCCUCUAUUUCUUGCUUUUUUGCAAUACAUUAUGCUGAGUUUCUGUUAUUGUGUUUUUGUAUGAAUGAAGAAAUGUUUGGUACGUGAGAUAAGAAUAAUAAUCACGGGAUGAAAUUUGAAAUUAACUUUAUUCCAUAUUUGGUCUGAUGGAUUAGCUAAUUCGAGAUUAUUUUAUCUCAGCAUUUGUACUAAAAUGGUGGGAUUACAAUAAUCUCAUGGUAUUAUUCUUGCUUAUCCCAUCCCAUGUACCGAACAACCAUAACUAAGGAAUCAUUAGUUACUAAUUUGAAGUUGUUGAAAGUCUAUUGUUCUAAAUGUAUGUAAGGUGUUUGUUAAAUGCCUAAAUGAGUUUUCGAACACAAAUAACAUAUUUCUGUUAUUUAUUUCUUUGUUAUCGUGAACAAGGUGUCACUUCAUUGUAGAUGGUUUAAUU